UAGAUGGAGUCCCUUACGAUCAAUGUGAAAUUUUGAACCAGUUGCAUGAUGUCUUACCCCGUAUCUUUUAGGAAGUUUUUUGCUCAAACCAGCUGUUGCUGUCGGUAUGCAGCAUCUGGGUGCACAAACCAGUGGUGGAUCAGUGUGAAAGAUUGUUUUAUGUUUCUCAUCAAUGUGAGAUUGUUCUAUGCUUAUCUGGUUGUUGUUUCAGCUUUUGUCUAGUUGGUGUUUUUUCCGCACCACAUUGUGCAUGUUUGUCUGUCGUCCCCGUAGAACCUUUCUCAUGCCCUUGUAACUGGGUGUUAAUCGAUAUGGCGCACGGCCGUCAUAACGCGACCUUGAGCUGGUUAUUAAUUCAACGGCCGUGGCCGCCGAUCGUGCCUUUAAGAUUGAAUGAUUAAGUGAAAGUUUGACCCCGUGGAUUUUGCUUUCAAGAUAUUGAAAAAAUCCAUCGGCAAUCACAACUCUAAUAAUUAACUGCAACUUUACUAAUUUCAAGAUGGUUGAACACAUCAUGCUCUUUUAUUGGAUUCUCUAGGGUUGAUUGUAUUUCUUUUAUCAACAAAAAGAAGAUAGUUACAAUUAUUAAAAAUCAAUACAUUUCAGUGACUUCAAGCAAUGUAUGUCUCUUUGUAUAUACGUAUAUAAGAUUAGAAAUAUGGAAAUAAUAUCCACAAAAGAUAUAUGAAAAUAAUAGGUAAUACAGAUGUCUAUAUACACAUAUAGAAAUGUAUCAGUGUCUAAAUUAUCAUGUGUUAUGCAGCGAAGAGGUAGGAUGCCCUCGCAUUUAGGAGGGCCACUGUGCUAACUUUAUAGAUAAAACAUCCUGAUCUUUUUAUUAAUAAUAAAUAAGAACUCUGUAAUUACGGAAGUGGUAAAGGGCCGGUGGAAAAUGUCAAAAUAGUAAGGACGCUAUGAAGAGGAGCGUCCAAACCUGGACGCCAUUGCUAAGUGUGUCCUUUUAUAGACGCUCUUAUACACGACAUCUAGCUAUGUGGUUUCACUUAUUAGGCUCAACCGAGUCUUUUUUUCGUUUCUCUGAUAUACGUAACAGUUUCUGAUAUGCAAACCCUAAUACGCAUGCAGCCGUCGCUCUUGAUCUCGCGGUCUCGUAAGCAAGCUCCAGCGGCCAACAUCAACAAUCAUCAUGGGAGUCGUGUUGUCUCACCGGCCGCUCAUCAUUAGGAAUUUAGGAUCGUCCACUUGACCUGUAGUUGGCGCAUGUGAGUUGUACGCCAUAUUGCAUCUCCUCUAUCAAGUUUUUUUUGUAUAAUUCGUUCCAUGGUUGCAAGUGUACUGCGUACAAUGUAUAGAUGAUUGGAUUUUUAUUCCUGGUAAUAUAAUUGGUAAUUGUCUAGUUUAUGAGAACUGAUAGGUCGUGAAAAAUGCAACCUUGAGUCGAUAGUAAAUCAAUUUAAUAUUUUAAUCUUUACUUUCUACAUGUUCAUGUCUGCAGGUGAAUCCGAGAACAUCUUAAUUGUUCUAACGUAUGUUGAUGGUGAAGUGCAACAUGGAUCCAUGAAUGUGGAGUAUAAUGUUCCUCCCAAAGUCACAUUUCCAGCAUAUGAGGAAACAACUUUUCAAGAUAUCAAGAAUCUAUGUCAAGGACUUAGACAUGGAAAUAGCAGUGAUAGAACAUGAAUAUCCAGGUCCCGAGCAACAUGGAACAUGAUUUUCAAUUAAUUUCAGUAUAUGAGGAAAGAGGAUGGAACAUGAUUUUUAAGAAGACUAGGUCCCAAGCAACAUGGCAAGCGAUAGAGUUAUAUGUUAAGUUCACACCAAAUCGAGGUACAUUGAGCCAACUCAACGGUGGAAGCAACAUACCUAGAAUUGAAAGGGAAGGAAAAAGGUACACGGAAGUGCAAUGUGUUCAUCAUUGCAACAAACCCCGUCUGGUGCAUCUCUGGAUUAUAGUACAUGUGCUCGUGAUUUUGACAUGUCACAUGUUCCAUCUUGUAGUCAUGGUAAUGCAAGAAAUGAUUUUCCAACAAGUACUGCCUAUAGCCCUUAUGAUCAGGAUGAUACAGACCCAAAUGAUGAUUUGAUUGGACAUGAUGAUGAUGACGAUGAGCAUGAUUUCGAUGACGCACCUAGCCAAUGUUCAGAUGAUUAUCCAGAACCAAUGGCCGUGCACCACAACUGGAGUUGAGUAUAAAGAAAUGUGCGGGCAUUGUCAUAUAAUAAGUUCUCUUUGCAACCAAAUACUCGGGCCUCAUCAAGACAAGGGAACACGGAUGUACAUGGAUGAGAUGCAAGGAAGGCGAAUGGGGCAACAGGCCCGACGCUCCACAACUGACAAUAAUCAAACGGGUAUAUAGCUAUUGCCGUACUAGUAAUUUAUAUGUAAAAUAGCAAAAGCUUGGGAAAAUGGGAGCAUCAUAUAAUUUUCUUUUCAUGUCUUCGCUUUAGGCUCAUCGUUUGGCGAAGGAAAAAUGAAAUAUAAUCGAGGAAACACAUCGAGUUAAGGGAAAAACACAUCAUUGACAAGAAAGAGUGUUGGGGAUAUGUAACGCCCUCGAUGCGGCUAUAUCUCCCACGUGUCGAAGCACGACUUAGAGGCAUAACCGCAUUGAAAGCAAUGUCGCAAGUGAGGUAAUCUUCACACAACCCAUGAAUAUAACAUUACAUCAUCCAGAUACACACAAGGUCCGACAACGGAACCAAAAUAAAAGAAGACUACCCCAAAUGCUACACAGAUCUCCGAUCGUCCCAACUGGGCUCCACUACUGAUCAACUAGAAACGGAACAACACAAAGGACAAGAUCUUCAUCGAGCUCCUCCUUGAGCUUGGUUGCGUCACCUGCAUGAUUCAACGGCACCUGCAAGCUGGUUUUGGAAGUAUCUGUGAGUCACGGGGACUCAGCAAUCUCACACCCUCGCGAUCAAGACNNNNNNNNNNNNNNNNNNNNNNNNNNNNNNNNNNNNNNNNNNNNNNNNNNNNNNNNNNNNNNNNNNNNNNNNNNNNNNNNNNNNNNNNNNNNNNNNNNNNNNNNNNNNNNNNNNNNNNNNNNNNNNNNNNNNNNNNNNNNNNNNNNNNNNNNNNNNNNNNNNNNNNNNNNNNNNNNNNNNNNNNNNNNNNNNNNNNNNNNNNNNNNNNNNNNNNNNNNNNNNNNNNNNNNNNNNNNNNNNNNNNNNNNNNNNNNNNNNNNNNNNNNNNNNNNNNNNNUGCAUCAAAGUAGGUUGUCUAGAUAUGCAACUAGGUGAGAAACCUAUAUGAUGCAACAAGGAUAGGAACACAAACAAGCAAGUGAUAUGAUACAAAUAAGCUUACACAAGUAAAGGCACGAGAUAACCAAGAGUGGAGACGGUGGAGACGGGGAUGUGUUGCCGAAGUUCCUUCCCUUUGAGAGGAAGUACGUCUCCAUUGGAGCGGUGUGGAGGCACAAUGCUCCCCAAGAAGCCACUAGGGCCACCGUAUUCUCCUCACGCCCUCACACAAUGCGAGAUGCCGUGAUUCCACUAUUGGUGCCCUUUAAGGUGGCGACCGAACCUUUACAAACACGGUUGGGGCUCUCUCCACAACUUAAUUGGAGGCUCCCAACAAAACCACGAAACUUCACCAUAAUGGAAUAUGGCUCCGAGGUGACCUCAACCGUCUAGGGUGCUCAAACACCCAAGAGUAACAAAAUCCACACAAGAAAGUAUGGGGGAAGCAAAUAUCCUUUGGUGGAAGUGUAGAUCUAGGUCUCCUCCUUCAAUCCCUAGCAAAUCAACAAGUUUGAGUGGCUAGAGAGAGAGAUCAGGCAAGAGAGCUUGAAGUGAAUUAAUGGUGGAGUGAGAGAGGUCAAAGGUGAGAGUGGUAGGUGGGAGAAACACUCUUAUAUAGCAACCCUAAAAAUCCAGCCGUUGCUGCGUUUUCAGCCCCGCAGCGGUACAACCGGUCCUUGUCCCAGUACAACCGGGACUCACGGUGUAGCUGCAGAACCCUACCAGGCGGUACAACCGGGCCACUGGGCGGUAGUACCAGUUAAGAAAAAUGACCGGACCAACCGCACAGCCACCGCACAACUACCGCCUCAGAACAAAGACGCGACCGGUACUUGAGCGGUGCAAGACCGGAACAACCACAUGGCCUUGAGCUCUUGGACGGCGAAGUUCUGAGCAGAAGAACCGCUCAGACCACCGGUGGUACCGGUCAACGAGGAUCGACCGGAUCAACCGGGCCACCACCGCCAGAGAACCGCAUCAAAACAGAACUUUGAGCGGUACUUGAGCGGUGCAUGGCCGGAACCACCGCCCUAGCCUUUGUUGAGCAAGGUGGCGGUACCACCGCCCGGAGGCAGCGGUACAACCGCUCGGUAAAAGCUGGAGAGCGACAAGGUCCAACGGUACAACCGCUGGGAAGAGCAGAAAACAGAAGGAAAGAUAGGGGGAACACUCUCUCUCACAACUAAGGAAGACAAAUGAGUGGUGAGGAAAGUGUACGUGAAAAGAUUCUCCCAGAGCUUCCUAAUGAGGAUUCCCUCUUGAUAGUACGGGUACUCUACGACCAAAGAAAAUAAAAGCGUAGAGGACACGUCUUCGAUCUUUUCCUAUGAGAGGCAAUAGCAAUCCGAUGUAAGCCUAAGCAUCGAGAACCUGAAACAUAUAGCACACGAUUAGACCAACAAAGGGUUGUCAUUAUCAUCCAAAACAUAAAGUAGGGAAAUGCCCUUUCAGUCUCCUCCUUUUUGGUGGAUGAUGACAACAACACGAUUUGCAAGAGAUAAGUCAAUGAAAUCUAGACAGAACUCCCCCUGAAUAUGUGCCCCAAUAGGAACUAGCUGUUAAAAAGCAUGGGCACACUUUCAAGACUAGACUCCCCCCUAGAUUUUAUAGACUCACCACUCUGAGCAUAAAAAAGAGAGACAAUAUAAUACUUAGAGUGCAAUAAUAACGAUAAUGACCAAUGAACGGAAAGGUAACAGGAGUAACAAGUCUCACACACAGCAAGGAACGAAACAAGUCCACGAACAAAGACCAACACGAAAAAACGAGAAAAAGAAAAACCCAUGCAAAUCCCCGAGACCUAUAGAACCCUCCCCCCUUUGGCAUCAAGACACCAAAAAGGAAAAGAGCGAAGUUAGCGUCCCAAAGCUCAAGCGUCCUCCUCUGACUCCUCGGUCGCAUCUGGAUCCUCAUCAUCAGAGUCAUCAUCGUCAUCGUGAUCGGAUUCUUCCAUGGCAUUGGCAGCUGCUGCAAACGAGGAGGAUGACUGGGGAGGGGCUUCAUCAUCAGUCCAGGUGCUAUGGGUAGAUAUCCAACGCUCCUCCGGGGUGAUGCUCUUCUCAGAGCCACUCUCAACCGGCAUGUUGAGGUGCUUCAUCAUUGCAAUUUGGCAAUGUCGUGCAAGCUUCUCAUUGACAUGUGCCUCAUACAUCCUCUUCUGGAUGUCAGCCUGGAGACAAAAGGUCUUCUUCACCUUGGCAGUGAGCUUGGCCACCCAUGAAGGCUUGGCCCCUGGCUCCAGCUCAAAGUCCUCAUCGUCAGAAGUAGCAUAGACAUCCUCAGGAUCAUUGGCAGGGAAGCGAGGCUCGGCAUGCUUCUUCUUCUUAAGGAGCUUGACCUCAUGAACAGUGAGGUUGUCUGGAGAAGUGAGGAGCUCUACAGGACGACGAACAGCCCACACAGAGUUCAGAAAGCACAUGACAAACGGAGCAUAGAUUGGGACUUUACGGUAGAUGACCAUGUUGUACAUCUCAUGCCACAUCCAAUUGGACACAUCAAACGUUGCCCCUGUCCCCACCAUGGUCUUCAUAGCAACCAUCAAAUCAACCAGAUAACCAUGAAUCUCAUCUUGAUUGCCCACCUUGGGCAAGAGCACAUUGCGGAACACUUGGUGCAUGAUGUCAUAGACCUUCUCCAAAUCCUUGGAUUCUCCAAUAAUCCCACGGCCCUGAAUGUACAGAGGGACAAGCUUCUCCUUAAGCAUGGACUCAGGAAAGUCAUGAGGACGAAUGCCACCCCUUCCUUCCAGACCGGUAUCCUCGUACCCAAUAGCAUUGCAGAAUGCCCUCGAGGGAACUUGAAACAAUUCAUCAUGACACAUGAAGGUGAGAGUGCGCGCGUCAUCUUCCCCAAAAUGAACCGUGGCAUAGAACUGAUGGAUGAGUUGAACAUCAAAGUCACAGUUGACUGACAUGAGCUUGACAAGAUCUCCUCGCAGAGAGCCAGCGCCUCACCAAAAUACUCCAGGUUGUUCCUCCAAUGAUCAAGAUCAAUUGUCCACUUCUUGGCAUAUCUGUUCUUGUUGUGCUCAAAGAGUUCAUGAAUAAUCCACACUUGCAUCUCAUUCUGGAACUGAACGGUGGUCCAACGAGGAGCAAUGGGAACCUCAUACGGAUUCUUCGAUCGGAAGGGUUCCCAUUCCUUGGCUUUCCAACAAUGCAACGGCCUAACCACACGUUGCUUAGCAGCUGCAGACUUUUCACGGUGAGUGGGCUUGGUGGGAAUCACAACUUCUUAUUCAUCAUCAGACGCAACCGGGCGCAAGGUCCUUCUUUCACUCUUCUUGGUCUUGCGAGGAGCAGAGCGAGAACUAGAGCCACCUGAACACACACACACACACACACGAAAAGAGCACACAAAAACCAGCAAGGAUGAGAGGAUUGCACACACUAGCAGAAAAGGAACAUGUUGCGGCAACAGAGAAGAUAGAACAAUACUGGGUGGUUGAUAUACUCCGGUUGUACCGGAUCCUCCGCCGGUAGUACCACUUCAGCGGUUGUACCGCCCGUAGGGGCGGUAGAACCGCUGACAAUGGCACUACCAGGGGAGAUAGAUCUAACCAAGGCAUACUAAUCACACAAGUAAUAUUCCAAAUUCUAAGUGCUGCAAACAAGACAGGAGGCAAACAAAGAUCUCUUCUACUCCAUAGUUCAAACACUAAUCGUGGAAAGUGAAGUAAUGCCCUAGACAAAGGAAGAACCCUAGAAAGAUCUAGGAGCAAAGAACACGAGGCAUUACCACCAUCCAUGGGAAGAGAUCGGGAGGCUUCCACGGAGAGCCCAAGGAUCCGAAGCGCGAGACGCACUCCGGGGCAGGGGCAAAGAGGGCCGGCGGCUAGGGCACAGAGAAGAGGAACGAGGGCGAAGGGAAAAAGAAAACCCUUCAGCCCCGUCGAGUAUAUAUAGGCCCGUAGACACGCCCCGGUAGUACCGCUCUGGGGAGUGGUUGUACCGCUCGUCUGGUACAGACCGGUGGUUGGAGGCAAUACUUCCGGUGCUUGGAAGGCAGCGGUAGUACCGCCCGGCGUCCACCGGUAGUACCGGACGUAGGUUACCAUGGGUUUGAGCGAUGGAACCGCCCAAGCACCGAACGGAGACCCAUUGGGACGGCACAACUAGGUACCAGCGGUAGAACCGCCUGUGAUCCCGGUUGUACCGCCCGACCACCUAUGCCCAAGCCAAGAUCAAAUGAGUGCAAUCCGAGGAGGGGAAGAAAGAGCACGAAACAGGAGAGAAACAACACCCUAGGAGAACCCAACACAAAGAGCAAAGAAAGAACGAGAGAAAACAACACGAGAACAAAAAGCUAACUCCAACCUCCCCAAGAGAGGACGGUGGCCGGAGCCACCCAUGUUUGAGUCAAUUGGUAUGGCACCGCGAAGAAUUAUCCUUGGGUCCAUGACCAAAACUCGUCUUUGAAGCACAAGUACCAUCAAACAUGGCUAAUGUGAAAGACUUGAUCAAUUUAUGCAUAAUGGGGGGAGGGAGAGUUCAUUGAGAGAACAUCACUCCCCCUAUGUCCAUGCCUACAUCUAACAAGACACCACGUCGAGUAUGGUGGGGUGUGCAAGGGUUCAAGCAACAUUGCUCGAAUCAAUGAUAUUUAGCUCAUGCCUUAACUCACAAAAUCUUGCUUCAUCCAAGGGCUUCGUGAAGAUAUCUGCAAGGUUAUCAUGAGUGUUGACAUAGUUGAGCUCGAUCUCUCCUCGCCUAAUGUGAUCCCGGAUGAAGUGAUACCGGAUCUCAAUAUGCUUCGUCUUGAAGUGUUGCACCGGGUUGAGAGAGAUCUUAAUGUCACUUUCAUUGUCACACCAAAGAGGCACUUUGUCACAAAUGAACCGUAGUCCUUUAAAGUUUGCCUCAUCCAUAAGAGUUGUGCACAGCAACUACCGGCCGCCACAUACUCCGCUUCGGUGGACGAGAGAGACACACAACUUUGCUUUUUGGAAGACCAACUUACCAAAGAGCAACCAAGGAAUUGGCACCCUCCGGAAGUGGACUUCCUAUCCACUUUGUCUCCCGCCCAAUCGGAAUCCGAAUACCCUACAAGCUUGAAGUUUGCUCCUCUUGGGUACCAUAGGCCAAAGUUUGGGGUAUGAGCCAAAUAUCGAAAGAUUCAUUUGACCGCCACAUAGUGACUUUCCUUAGGUGCGGCUUGAAACCGUGCACAAAUUCCCACACUCAACAUGAUAUCCGGUCUAGAUGCACAAAGGUAAAGCAAGGAACCUAUCAUGGAGCGAUAUACCUUUUGAUCCACCAGUUUACCAUUGGGAUCUAUGUCAAGUUGGCACUUGGUGGGCACUGGAGUGGAAGCCGGCUUGACAUCACUUAGCUUGAAUCUCUUGAGCAUGUCUUGAGUAUAUUUGGCUUGGUUUAUGAAGGUUCCUUCUCUUCUUUGCUUCACUUCGAACCCUAGAAAGAACUUCAACUCUCCCAUGGAAGACAUCUCAAACUUUGAGGUCAUGAGAGCGGCAAAUUCCUCAUUGAAAGCUUUGUUAGGGGAACCAAAGAUAAUAUCAUCAACAUAUAAUUGGCACACAAACAACUCCCAUUUGACCUUCUUAGUAAAAAGAGUGGGGUCAAUUAGCCCAACUUCAAAACCACGAUCUUGUAACAACUUGGUAAGGUGGUCAUACCACACACGUGGGGCUUGUUUAAGGCCAUAGAGUGCCUUAUCGAGUUGAUACACAUGAUCGGGAAAGUAGGGAUCCUCGAACCCGGGGGGUUACUUGACAUAAACCAAUUCAUUAAUGGGACCAUUAAGAAAAUCACUCUUCACAUCCAUUUGUUGUAACUUAAAGUUAUGAUGAGAAGCAUAUGCAAUCAACAUGCGAAUGGAUUCAAGACGAGCAACAGGAGCAAAGGUUUCACCGUAGUCGAUACCCUCGACUUGGGAGUAGCCUUGUGCUACCAAAUGAGCCUUGUUGCGAAUGAUAAUCCCAUGGGCAUCUUGCUUGUUCUUAAAUAUCCACUUGGUUCGAAUGACAUUGUGGUUCUCCGUCGGUCUUGGCACCAAUCUCCACACUUUGUUGCGCUCGAAGUUGUUGAGUUCUUCAUGCAUGGCAUUGAGCCAAUCCGGAUCUUCUAGCGCCUCAUAGACCUUGUGGGGUUCCACACAAGAGACAAACGCGUGAUGCUCACAAUAAUUUACUAAUUGUCUACAAGUGCUUACCCCCUUUCUUAAGCUUCCAAGCACAUUCAUCAUGAGAUGAUCCUUGGUGGAGAGCUUGGAAGCAACCUUGGCGCACGACGCUCUAAUUCCUCCUCGGGGGUGAGACGAGGAGUGGUCACUUGAUCAUCUUGAGCGUUGUCUUGGGCUUGUUCUUGUUCUUGGACUUGCUCGGAGGAGAGUACUUGACCUUGGGCAUCACUUGAUGUGUCAACACCAUCUUGAGCGUGAUCUUGCCCUUGGUCAUGUUCUUGAGGAUGAGGGCCUUCAUGUUGUUCUUCGGAAGCGUGUGGGCCUUGGGUUGGUGAUGGCUCCACUUGAGUGGAGCUUUGUCCUUCUCCUUCGACCACAAGGGGUUCCUCAAUGGGUAGGAUAAAGCCAACACCCAUUCUUCUUAUGGCUUGGGGAGGAAUUUCAUCACCUACAUCACAAGUGCCACUUUGCUCCACUUGAGAGCCGUUAUUCUUAUCAAACUCCACGUUACACGCCUCCUUAAUAAGUCCCAUGGAUUUAUUGAGGACAUGGUAAGCAUGAGAGUUUGUAGCAUAACCAACAAAUAUGCCCUCAUAAGCUCUAGCCUCAAAUUUAGACAACCGAACACCUUUCUUGAGAAUGAAACACUUACACCCGAACACCCGGAAGUACUUGAGGUUGGGCUUGUUACCGGUGAGUAUCUCAUAUGGAGUCUUGUUCAAGCCCUUGCGGAGGUAGAGCCGAUUGGAUGCAUGACACGCGGUAUUGAUGGCUUCGGCCCAAAAGUUGUACGGAGACUUGAACUCCGCCAUCAUGGUCCUUGCCGCAUCCAUCAACGUCCGGUUCUUCCUCUCCGCAACACCGUUUUGUUGAGGGGUGUAAGGUGCGGAGUAUUGAUGCUUGAUCCCCUCAUCACUAAGAAACUCAUCCAAGGUGUAGUUCUUGAACUCGGUGCCGUUGUCACUUCUUAUUGUCAAGAUCUUUGCAUUGUGUUGAUGUUGUGCUUCAUUUGCAAAGUCAAUGACGGUUUGUUGGGUCUCGCUCUUCCUCUUGAAGAAAUACACCCAAGUGUAUCUUGAGUAGUCAUCCACAAUCACCAAGCAAUACUUCCUACCCCCAAGACUAUCGAAGGAUGGAGGCCCAAAGAGAUCCAUGUGAAGGAGCUCCAAAGGCCUCUUUGAGUAGAUGAUAGUCGUGGGAGGGUGAGCCUUCUCAUGUAGCUUUCCUUCGAUACAAGCACUGCAAGCACGAUCUUUAGCAAAACUAACAUUUGUUAGUCCAUGGACAUGGUCCCCCUUGAGAAGACUUUGCAAAGAUCUCAUAUUGACAUGGGCUAGACGGCGAUGCCAAAGCCAUCCCACAUCAACUUUAGCCAUUAGGCAUGUCGCGGUCUUAGUGGGUCGCUCUGAAAAGUUAAUCACAUAUAGACUGUUCUUGACAUGCCCAACAAAGGCUACUUUAAGAGUCUUGCUCCACAAGAGGGCCACGGUAUCAAUAUCAAAGAAGGUGGCAAAGCCCAUGAUUGCACGUUGACGAACGAAAAGUAAAUUGUAUGCAAGGGACUCUACAAGCAUGACCUUCUCGAUCAUGAGAUCAUGAGAAAUGACAACCUUGCCGAGUCCCAAUACCUUAGAGGACGAGGCAUCACCCCAUUCGACGUUGGUGGGCAUAGAGGAAAUCUUGUGCACGUCCACCACCAAGUCCUUGCUUCCGGUCAUAUGAUUUGUAGCUCCACUAUCGAGCAACCAUGAUCCCCCACCGGAAGCAAACACCUACAAGAGAUUAAUGCUUGGUUUUAGGUACCCAUUUUGUAAUGGGUCCUUUGAUGUUAGUAACAAGGGUCUUAGGAACCCAGAUAGACCAUUCAAUGUAUUCAUAGGGAGAACCAACAAAUUUGGCAUAAACAUGCCCAUCACUAGCACGGCAUAACACAUAAGAAGGAUUAAAGUCGUCGGCUUUGUUUGGAGGGGUGGCAUUGCCCUUCUCGGCGCCGCCACCCUUCGCAUCAUUCUUCUUCUCCUUGGAUGCACCCUCUCCCUCCUUCACAAAAGUUUGCUUGAGAGGGGGAGGUCGUUUGGCCUUGUCAUUCUUCUUCUUGUUCUUGGGCUUGGGUGCGUACCCAAUCCCUUCCUUGGCCACGACUUCCUUUUGACUACUCAAAAGGUCGUUGAGGUUCUUCUCACCUUGUAUACAUGACACAAGGCCUUUCUCAAGUUGCUCCUUCAACUUAGCAUUUUCCUCAACAAGAUGUAUAUACUCACAACACGGGUUAGUAGCAUUUGCAUUAUCAAUUAAAACCAUAUGAGGAAAUGUGGCUUUCUCCUUAGUUAGCUUCACCUGGAGUUGAUCAUGAGACUCCUUGAGACUAGCGUGAAUACCCUUCAAGGCCUUGUGGGCCUUGUCAAGUAUAUCAUACUCCUCUUUGAGUCUAGCAAGAUCAACCCCAAAUUCGGCCCUCUCAGAAUUUAGCACACGAGAAACAACAAGAGCAUGAUCAAGAUCUUUCUUUAAUUUAGCAUGAUCUUCGUUGUGUGACUCCUCAAGAGCCAAACGAAGACCACGCUCUUCCUCAAGAGCAUUGGAAAGAUCCGAAAUCUCAUCGGCAUAGUCACGACUAUGCCCUUCCAUCUUAGAGAUGGUAUCUGCGUGAGCGUCGAUCAUGUCAUUGGCUUCACCAAGUUGUUCCAAGAGAGCAACAAAGUGCUUCUUGGACUUGCCCUUGAGUUUACCCAUAAAGGUCUCAAACUCAUUCUCCUCCACAUUAGUUCCCUCAAGUUCAUUAAUGCUAUCCGUCGGAGAAGGAUGAUUAAUGAUGGUAGUUUUGAUGUUGGGGGUUACCUUGUUGGUAGCUUUAGCCAUGAGGCACUUGGCGGUGAUGCUCUCAUUUGGUGAGUCGAAGAGAGACACCCGUGGAGUCGUCAUAAUGGCAACGGAGGCCAUGGCAACCAACUCAUCACCUUCAUCAUCAUCAUCAUCCUCAUUGUACUCUUCUUGUACCACCAAUGCCUUGGGAGGAGUCUUCUUGGUGAAGUUGCUCUUGUUGGGGAACGACUUGGCCUUGUCCUUUCGGAUGAGCUUGCCACCAUUGUCUUCCCUCUUCCCAUACGGGCACUCCGUAACAAAAUGACUCACGUUGCCACAAUUGUAGCAAGUCCUUACACGUUGCUUGCUCUUCGUGCCACUUGAGUUGUUUUUGCUAAAGUUUGGCCUUGAGUUUUUCUUGCUCCAAAAUUGCCUUGAAGCGAGUGCCAUGUGUUCAUGAUAUGCAUAAUUUGUAUCCUCGGGGUUGCUCUCCUCUUCUUCCUCUUAUUCUUCUUCAAUGGACAGCUUGGCCUUCAAUGCAAGGUUGGGCUUCUUUGCCCUUUGAGAACGAAGCAUCGCAUUGUUGGCGGUCUUGUCCAAAAUGUUCAUGGCCACAAACUCAUCCAACACUUCGCUUGAGGUCAAAGUGUGGAAGUCCGGUCUUUGACGAAUGACAGAGGACAUGGCCUUGUGAUAGGGCAUCAUUGCCUUGAGGAAUUUGCGCUUGAUCCAAUUGUCAUCCGUGUCCUUGCUCCCGUGAUCUCGUAGUGAGACCGCGAGUUUGGUUACUCUCCGAUAAAGCUCACGAGGUUCUUCAUCUUCUUUCAUUUCAAACUCAUCGGCCUCAUCUUGCACCACUUCAUAGUUGGAGCGUUGAAUGCUUGCGCUUCCCCGGUAGAGAGAGACAACACAAUGCCAUGCAUCUUUGGCCAAGGCGAAGGGACGAAGAUGAGGUAGGUCUUCAGGUGGAAUUGCAUCUUGAAUUAUGAAGAGAGCAUUCUCAUUGAAUUGAUUAUCCGCGGCUUCUCGAGGAGUGAAGUUGCUUGGAUCAUGCGGAUAGAAACCUUCUUCAAUGAUCCUCCAAAGGUUAGUGUUCACAUGAUUUAAAUGACGUUUAAAACAGUAAACCCAAGAAUCAAAGUCCUCAUUUUUCACAAUCUUAGGGGGAGGACCGGCAUGAUUCAAAUGAGUGGAGGGAACCGGUCCACCAUAAACAAGUGGUGGUUCCACAUGAGCAAAAAUGCCGGUGCCAUUUUUACCACUAGAAGAAGGAGCCUUUUCACUACUAGCUUCCCCCUUAUCGGAGAUAGCAUCUGUCACCUUGUCGGUGGGAUCACCCACUUUUAACAGUGCGGUGGAAAGUUUAAGCCCCUCAAGGAAUUUAGUAAACAUGCUUUCAACCUCGGUGGUCAUGGAGGUUUUCAAUGUCUCCAAGGCCACAUUGAACUCCUCACGAGAGACUGAGGUUCCCCCAUCGCCCGCAGACGAGGUCGGAUUCGUACCGGAGUGUUCCUCCACACCGUCUACGGUAUCAACCAUACUCUUCGGAUGGUAAAGUCCUUAAUAAAGAGACGAGGCUCUGAUACCAAUUGACAGGAUCGAUAUGGUUGACUAGAGGAGGGGGUGAAUAGGCAACUAACAAUUUUUUAGCUUUUCUUUAACAAUUUAAACUUUGCAUCAAAGUAGGUUGUCUAGAUAUGCAACUAGGUGAGCAACCUAUAUGAUGCAACUAAGCUUGCACAAGUAAAGGCACGAGAUAACCAAGAGUGGAGAUGGUGGAGACGGGGAUGUGUUGCCGAAGUUCCUUCCCUUUGAGAGGAAGUACGUCUCCGUUGGAGCGGUGUGGAGGCACAAUGCUCCCCAAGAAGCCACUAGGUCCACCGUAUUCUCCUCACGCCCUCACACAAUGCGAGAUGCCGUGAUUCCACUAUUGGUGCCCUUGAAGGCGGCGACCGAACCUUUACAAACAAGGUUGGGGCUCUCUCGACAACUUAAUUGGAGGCUCCCAACGAAACCACGAAGCUUCACCAUAAUGGAAUAUGGCUCCGAGGUGACCUCAACCGUCUAGGGUGCUCAAACACCCAAGAGUAACAAAAUCCACACAAGAAAGUAUGGGGGAAGCAAAUAUCCUUUGGUGGAAGUGUAGAUCUAGGUCUCCUCCUUUAAUCCCUAGCAAAUCAACAAGUUUGAGUGGCUAGAGAGAGAGAUCAGGCAAGAGAGCUUGAAGUGCAUUAAUGGUGGAGUGAGAGAGGUCAAAGGUGAGAGUGGUAGGUGGGAGAAACACUCUUAUAUAGCAACCCUAAAAAUCCAGCCGUUGCUGCGUUUUCAGCCCCGCAGCGGUACAACCGGGACUCAUGGUGUAGCUGCAGAACCCUACCAUGCGGUACAACCGGGCCACUGGGCGGUAGUACCGGUUAAGAAAGAUGACCGGACCAACCGCCCAGCCACCGCACAACUACCGCCUCAGAACAGAGACGAGACCGGUACUUGAGCGGUGCAAGACCGGAACAACCGCAUGGCCUUGAGCUCUUGGACGGCCAAGUUCUGAGCGAAGAACCGCUCAGACCACCGGUGGUACCGGUCAACGAGGAUCGACCGGGUCAACCGGGCCACCACCGCCCGAGAACCACAUCAAAACAGAACCUUGAGCGGUACUUGAGCGGUGCAUGGCCGGAACCACCGCCCUAGCCUUUGUUGAGCAAGGUGGCGUUACCACCGCCCGGAGGCAGCAGUACAACCGCUCGGUAAAAGUUGGAGAGCGACAAGGUCCAGUGGUACAACCGCUCCAGGGGGCGGUACAACCGCUGGGAAGAGCAGAAAACAGAAGGAAAGAUAGGGGGAACACUCUCUCACACAACUGAGGAAGACAAAUGAGGGGUGAGGAAAGUGUACUGAAAAGAUUCCCCCAGAGCUUCCUAAUGAGGAUUCCCUCUUGAUAGUACGGGUACUCUACGACCAAAGAAAAUAAAAGCGUAGAGGACACGUCUUCGAUCUUUUCCUACGAGAGGCAAUAGCAAUCCGAUGUAAGCCUAAGCAUCGAGAACCUGAAACAUAUAGCACACGAUUAGACCAACAAAGGGUUGUCAUCAUCAUCCAAAACAUAAAGUAGGGAAAUGCCCUUUAAAGCGACUAGCAUAUGUGGUGGCUAACAUACGCAAAUGAGAGCGAGAAGAGAAGGCAAAAGCACGGUCGAACAACUAUGAUCAAGAAGUGAUCCUAGAACAACCUACGUCAAACAUUACUCCAACACCGUGUUCACUUCCCGGACUCCGCCGGAAAGAGACCAUCAUGGUUACACACGUGGUUGAUGCAUUUUAACUAACAAAUUCCCAUCUGCCCAUAACCGCGGGCAUGGCUUUCGAAAUUUCAAAUCCCUGUAGGGGUGUCCCAACUUUGCCCAUCACAAGCUCUCACGGUCAACGAAGGAUAUUCCUUCUCCCAAGACAAUCCGAUCAGACUCGGCAUCCCGGUUACAAGACAUCCUCGACAAUGGUAAAACAAGUCCAGCAAUACCACCCGCUGUGCCGACAAAUCCCGAUAGGAGCUGCACAUCUCGUUCUCAGGGCACACCGGAUAAGCUAAGCGUACGGGAGCCAACGUAACCCAAGUUGUCAAGGGACGGCCCCGCAUGAUGCUCUGGGUUGGACCAACACUUAGACAAGCACUGGCCCGGGGGUUUAAAUAAAGAUGACCCUUAGGCUGGCUUAACCCAAGGGAAAAAGAGGCUAGGUGGCAAAUGGUAAAACCAAUGUUGGGUCUUGCUGGAGGAGUUUUAUUCAAGGCAAACUGUCAAGGGGUUCCCAUUAUAACCCAACCGUGUAAGGAGCGCAAAAUCCGGGAACAUAACACCGAUAUGACGGAAACUAGGGCGGCAAGAGUGGAACAAAACACCAGGCAUAAGGCCGAGCCUUCCACCCUUUACCAAGUAUAUAGAUGCAUUAAUUAAAUAAGAGAUAUUGUGAUAUCCCAACAAUAAUAUCCAUGUUCCAACAAGGAACAAGCUCCAAUCUUCACCUGCAACUAACAACGCUAUAAGAGGGGCUGAGCAAAAGCGGUAACAUAGCCAAACAAUGGUUUACUAGGACAAGGUGGGUUAGAGGCUUGGCUUAACAAUAUGGGAGGCAUGAUAAGAAAGUGGUAGGUAUCACAGGAUAGGCAUAGCAAAAAAGCAAGCAUCUAGCAAGCAAAGAUAGAAGUGAUUUCAAGGGUAUGGUCAUCUUGCCUGAGAUCCCGCAAGGAAGAAGAACGAGUCCAUGAAGAAGACAAAUGGACGUAGUCGAAUGGGUCCUCAUAAACGUGACGUUAUUGGAACCAACCCGAAGAGCAACACCUAAAAGAAGCACACAACAUAGUAAACAACCAACACAUGAGCAUGGCAUGAUAUGCGGGAUGCGGUAUGCGAUGCAUAUGCAUGAUUUGGAAAGGAAUGAUUGAACCUGGCCUCAACUUGGAAAUCCAAGAGUGCCACUGGAAAGGUGAGUUGAUUUCGGUUGAAAUCGAUAUAAAGAUCACCGGAAUCGGAUGCACGGUUUGGAAAUGGCAAGCAAAACAAAUAUGGCACCGGUCUGCGAUAAUCAGCAAGUGACCAUCUAAAUGCAUCAAGAACAACAUGCUACAGCAUUCAAACAUGACAAUAAAAUACAUGGUAGGGAUCCACUCAUGAUGCUUGACAAAAUAUGAACACUGAUCUACGGCUAAAUCACUCAAUAGAAAGCUCAAACAAGCGUGGAAAAAGUGCAAAAGAUAACAGGUUUCAGACUUACUGAAAUAAACAGGAUAUCCGGAAUUUAUCAUCGGGAAGCAAUGUUUAGAGCACAAUAACUACAUGCUACAGGAACAUAUCAUGGCAAAGAAAGGCAUGGCAUGAAGCUACUCUAAGCAUAUAACAAAAGUCCCUUAGUGACCAUGAGCCAAAAGGGAUCAGAAAAUACAAUUGCAAGCAUGUGAACAUAGCAAAAACAUAAACAGAUUCAGACUUAGUGAAAAACUGGAACAUGCAAACAGAUUAACAAGUAGGCAUGUUUACGAGCUCGAUGCACUCACUACAGAGCAUGGCAUGACAAACUAAGCAUACACCCAUGAAGAAGACAUGGCAUAGAAGCUAGAAAUGGCAAGAGCAACAACAUAGCAUGCACAGAACAACAACAACAACAACAAGCUCGGCAAAAUUGAUAAACAUGUUAACAAUCUGCCAGGAACAUUUUAUAGCAAAAGUAGAGCUCAAUUGACUCAAUCUAGGGUGCUCCAUAAUUGCAAACAAAGACAUGGAUGGAUAGGGCACAACAAUAUUAACAAAACAUCCUUACUGAUCAUCUUCAAAAGAGGCACGGAUCACUAGGAAAGAACAUGAACAUAUGGCAUAAAAAUAAUGACAGGGCAAAGACUUAAUGAAAUUCAAAGUCCCUGAAAUCAGCAUCAUUGAGUAAGCUACUGUGCAUGCUUGUGCUAGUCAACACAAAGAUCACAAAAAUACAUGGCAUACACCCCUGUAAAGAUGGCAUGGCAUAUAACAAAACACAUGUAGAGCUCAGGGUCAUAGCAUGCACACAUUAAUCAUGGCAAAAAUGACAAAAGGCCAUUUGCUGAAACAGAUCUGACAUAAUCCUCACAUAGCCCUCUUCCAACAGAAUUUCGGGCAUCAAGAUGAGCUCAAAUGAAAAUGAUGCAAUGAGAUGAAAUGAUGUACUCGUCGAGACGAAUAUUUUGAUAUGCUACAUGCACGAAUCGGAGCUACGGUUGAUGAGAGUAUGAUGCUAUGAAAAUGCACAAAAAUACUGGAACGUAGACGAAGUUCAACCUCCGGAUAAAGUCAACGGGAUCUCGUGGUACGGGACAGCGCGGUGCGGGACGGAGGGAGGCGUUUGGAUGGCCGAGAUGGUGGAUCUGGUCCACCCGACCAGAUCCGGCCGGUGAGGGGCUCCGGUUAGGGCGGGCCAUCUCCGGCGAGGCGCGGUGGCGCACGGCGACGAACUCCGGCGCGGCUGCCGGAGCACAGGACGACAACGAGGCCCCAACGAGGCGGCGCCUCCACGGGAAUGGCGGCGAGGACCAGUGUCAGAGCGGCGGCNNNNNNNNNNNNNNNNNNNNNNNNNNNNNNNNNNNNNNNNNNNNNNNNNNNNNNNNNNNNNNNNNNNNNNNNNNNNNNNNNNNNNNNNNNNNNNNNNNNNNNNNNNNNNNNNNNNNNNNNNNNNNNNNNNNNNNNNNNNNNNNNNNNNNNNNNNNNNNNNNNNNNNNNNNNNNNNNNNNNNNNNNNNNNNNNNNNNNNNNNNNNNNNNNNNNNNNNNNNNNNNNNNNNNNNNNNNNNNNNNNNNNNNNNNNNNNNNNNNNNNNNNNNNNNNNNNNNNNNNNNNNNNNNNNNNNNNNNNNNNNNNNNNNUCGGGAGGGCCGGAUGCGGGCCCGAGCGGGCCGGGGCGAUGUGGGCGCGCCGGCGCGGCGGCUCGGCCAGUCACAGAGUGACACGUGGCGGCGGACGGCGAAACAGACGUGUCCGACGCGGUGGAAGAAAUGUCCGGCGGCGGCGGGGAGAGUUAGGGUAAGGUUUGCAAUGCGAAUUUCGGAGGGGAUCACAUAUUUAUAGGUAGAGGGAGCUAGGAGAGUCCAAAUGAGGUGCGGUUUUCGGCCACGCGAUCGUGAUCGAACGACCGAGAUGAUGGAGGAGGUUUAGGUGGGUUUUGGGCCAGUUUGGAGGGGUGUUGGCCUGCAACACACACGAGGCCUUAUCGGUCCUCGGUUAACCGUUGGAGUAUCAAACGAAGUCCAAAUGGUACGGAACUUGACAGGCGGUCUACCGGUAGUAAACCAAGGCCGCAAGACAAGUCUCAAUCCAAUCCGAAAACGUUUAACACCCGCACACGAAAAGAGAUAGAAAGGGACACCAGAUGACAUAGGAGCGCCGGAUUGCAAAACGGACAACGGGGAAAAUGCUCGGAUGCAUGAGACAAACAUGUAUGCAAAUGAAAUGCACAUGAUGACAUGAUAUGACAUGCAUGACACGCAAGCAAUGACAAGGCAACAACAGCGAAUAACUGGAGGACACCUGGCACAUCGGUCUCGGGGCGCUACAACACUCCAUCACUACGAGAGGAUCUCGUCCCGAGAUCUAGAAUGGCACCGGAGGGACAACGGAAGAGAAAGAGAAGAGGUAAAACUAAGUUGCUUCUUUGACAAACAAGUGAAACCAAAGAACUUUGCAAGGUUGAGAAAAUUGAAAGAAAGAAAGCAACUGAGGUGAACGAAGUUGAAAGUACUCCAUUAGGAAAAAGGAACAAGGAAGAACAAAUUCGGACAGCACUCCGUUUGAAAAGAGAAGCAAGACUUGAUAAGGCGAAAGAACUUGAGCAAAAGGGCACAACACUCCGGUUAAAAGGAUAAGCAUGAAAAGAAUAAGGUCCUGACAAGAACAAGAAGAAGGUUUGAAGAGAGCACCAGCACAAUGCCUCCGGAAGAAAGAAAUAGAAGAUAGACAAUUGAAACAAAAGAAUGGAGAAGAAAAUGCCAACUUCUGCCACAAAAGAGCUUGAAAAAAGGCAUCCUUAGGAGGAGGGUCGAACGGAGUUGUUGGAAAACCAACAACGAAAAGAGUAAGCUUGUUGUGGGCUUAUAGAAAACAUCCCAAAAUUAUGAGGUGAAAUCCUGCCACAAAUGAAAACAAUUGCUUGCUUGAGAGCGACGGAGAGAUGAAAACAUCUUUCAUCAUGAGAAUAGGAGGAAACUUGGAUCAUCGAUAAACACCAUAAAUAACCAUAUUCCUUAGGAAGGUUUUAGGUGAAAUAUAACCCAAGAUAACUCCAAUGAAGAGAUUGGUGGAUUUAAGAUAUCUCAUUCUUGACAACAUGUGAAUCAUGGAACAUGAACUCAAAUUAUGAAGAAUGACAUAGCACCACCUCAAAUGAUACAGUAAAAAGAAUUGAACUCCGGAUUGCACGAAGAAGAAUACUUGAGCUCCUUAGAAAAGAAUGUUGAUGAAAACUUGGAGAAGGAAUUAGAUCCUUAAAGAACCUACAUGUAGAACCUCCAUGAAGAACUCCGGUAAACAAAAGGAUAACAAAAAGAAAGAGAAGUGAAGUAGAGAACACAAGGUGAAACCUUGUACCGAUUUAGACGAAUCUCCGUGGUGAAAUGAUUGAAAAAGGUUGGAACUCCGGGAAAAAUAGAAGAUGAAACAAUUGAAAUCAGGAAUUUGAUAAGCCUCCGGAAUAGGGAAUUGAGUUCACUCGAUGAAACAAGAAUAAGAAUUACAUUAUGCUUAUCCUUCACCAAUUAAAUUGAUGACAAUCAACGGAUUUGGCAUAUUACUUAUUCUCGUAGAAAAGAUUAAAAGAGAUAUAGCGCAAACUUGAAGAGGCCUUCGAUGACCCACCGGUAGGAUUUGAAAGAACGAAAGAAUUAAUAUGAUAACCAUGGAAGAGAAUCUUGAGCAAACCAUCGUAAGAAUUGAAAACGAACGAAGGGGAACGAAUCACCGGUAAGGAUUAUCAAAUGAACGAAGGUACUUAAGAGAAAACAAGAUGCAAGGGAACAGAGGGAUCAUGAACUGAUUAGAGGAUAUUUGAAUGAUGCACCGGUAAGAUUUUGAGAGCAAUAGCUGAAAGCUGAGAAUGAAUAAUUAUGAGACGAUGGGCUCCAGAGAAUCAAACUGAAAAGACUCUUUAAUUGCUUGGGAUGGGUGAAAAUAAUUCUCACAAUCGAAAACAAUUAUGAGAGGAUGGCAACAAGCUAGAAUCACAAUUCUUGAAGAGAAUGGAGCAGAUUGAGGAGAAACUCUUCUUCGGUCUUCAAAAUCUGAGAAUGACGACGAGAAACACCACCAUGAAUUGUAGAGAUACUGCGGGAUGACGAAUAGAAAGGUUGAGCCAAUGAUUAGAAGAAUUAUAAGAUCUUGGAGAAAACAUCUGACUGAUGAUAAUUCAUUCUUACGUCAAAAUUCGAAAAGAAUUUUUAAGGAUAUCUCCGGGAAAAUAAGAAGAGUCAGGUAAGAUCCUGGGAAAAGACCUGUGGGUUAGGGCCCACUCAAAGAAACACCGUUGAAGUGAUUACUUGAAAAGGGAGAUAGCACCGGUUGAAAUAAAUGACUUGGAUGAGAUAACAUCCUCGAAAGAGCUUGAACGAAUGUAGAGUGGAAACACAAAUCUUCGAGAUAUCUUGAACACUCCGGAACAAUUGAAUAGAGAGACAUGGAUGGAUAUAAGAAACACCGGCAUGAGAAGGUAUUUGAAACGAGGAAAAGAUAUGAUCAACAAAGCUUGACUUGGUUCCACCGGAGAAGAAAGAGAAUGAAUAAUGAUGAACUUGAGGCUCCGUUAGUAUCUUCAUGAGAAUCACCGGAUAAGAAUAUUGACGGAAAAAGAUGGACAGACUUCACAAGAAUAAGAGGAUACUUGAUUAAGGCAUCAGAUUCCUUGAAGAAAAGGGUGGGUGGGCGGAGAAAACUAAGGCAACUUGGAGACAGAUGAAACAACAUCGUUGAGAAGAACUGAUACUUGAUCUUGCGGAUGUUGAAAUGAUCAGAUCCACUUGAAGAGAAACACGCCGGUGAAAAGAAAUUGAAAUGACAAACUUGAUGAUCGAGAAGGAUUAGUAUUCACCUCGGAGUAUGAGAACACCGUUUAGAGAAGGUAUGGAAUCAACAUUUGACUUCGAAGCAACUCGAAUACCACAACUCAAAACAAAACAAAGGAUUGGCUAGCAAAAUAAGCCGGAACAAACAUAUGAUAGAGAUUUCGUCCGAAGUUUUCGUGGUGGGGCCUACACGGGCUCGAUUGUACAACACCAUCAUGUACAAGGCAGUGCACAUGACAUACGAAGCGUCCCCGAGUCGGCAUAGCCAAGGACUCUUUAAGAGACAACGAGACCACUAUAAAACCGACCGUGGAUAGGCGGACCACUAGACGUCGAACCCCAAUUUUGUAUCAUACAUCUGUCGGAAAGAUAUCCUAAGAGCUACUUGAAUUCCCACUUAUAAACUCCCAAAAUUUUCCAGUUAUGCAAUCAAGUGUUGGGGAUACAUGGGAAGCAUAAUAUCUCACCCAAAACUAACAAAUCCUACAUCCAGCUGUAUCCAUCCUUCAACACAUAACCAAGAAACCUUCGGAAAUCAUUUACAUCAACCUUCGAAAAGCAUCCGUUAUACGAGUUAUGGCAAUACUCCCGAACUCCCACCCCAGUAUUGGGUGGCGUCGAGGUUAUCUCACCAACAACUGCAUAAAAGAGAUUUUCGAUGUCGGCGAAACUCGGGUAUUCCAGAACUGCAACGAUAAAAUUGUGACGACAACACCUCGGAGCUCAACUCCCCGGGACACUGCCACAACCCCUAAAUGUUAGGAGGCACCAAGAACAAUGUUCUCGUCACAAAACCAUCAGAACGAUUCCAAGAUACCCGUGUGAUCCUAAAUUUUUUUUAGUGAUAUUUGAGAAGAGAAGAGUCAAAACUCUACGUCAGGAUGCCUCACUAGAGCGACGAAGGGGCUGAGGAGUAAAAAAGAAAUCCUACUCUCCGAUAUAUAUAAUCCUAUAAGACUCAAAACAUUUUUCUAGACUCAACAAUGCCAGCGAUUCGAGCAAGUAGGGGGCUCCUAAAGUCGGGGAAGGCUCUGAUACCAACUUGUAACGUGCUCGAUGUGGCUAUAUCUCCCACGUGUCGAAGCACGACUUAGAGGCAUAACCGCAUUGAAAGCAAUGUCACAAGUGAGGUAAUCUUCACACAACCCAUGAAUAUAACAUUACAUCAUCCAGAUACACACAAGGUCCGACUACGGAACCAAAAUAAAAGAAGACUACCCCAAAUGCUACACAGAUCCCCGAUCGUCCCAACUGGGCUCCACUACUGAUCAACUGGAAACGGAACAACACAAAGGACAAGAUCUUCAUCGAGCUCCUCCUUGAGCUUGGUUGCGUCACCUGCACGAUUCAACGGCACCUGCAAGCUGGUUUUGGAAGUAUCUGUGAGUCACGGGGACUCAGCAAUCUCACACCCUCGCGAUCAAGACUAUUUAAGCUUAAAGGAAGGGUAAAAGGUUUGAGGUGGAGCUGCAGCAAACGACUAGCAUAUGUGGUGGCUAACAUACACAAAUGAGAGCGAGAAGAGAAGGCAAAAGCACGGUCGAACAACUAUGAUCAAGAAGUGAUCCUAGAACAACCUACGUCAAACAUUACUCCAACACCGUGUUCACUUCCCGGACUCCGCCGGAAAGAGACCAUCACGGUUACACACGCGGUUGAUGUAUUUUAAUUAAGAUCAACUUCAAGUUUUCUACAACCGGACAUUAACAAAUUCCCAUCUGCCCAUAACUGCGGGCACGGCUUUUGAAAGUUCAAAUCCCUGUAGGGGUGUCCCAACUUAGCCCAUCACAAGCUCUCACGGUCAACGAAGGAUAUUCCUUCUCCCAAGACAAUCCGAUCAGACUCGGCAUCUCGGUUACAAGACAUCCUCGACAAUGGUAAAACAAGUCCAGCAAGACCACCCGCUGUGCCGACAAAUCCCGAUAGGAGCUGCACAUAUCUCGUUCUCAGGGCACACCCGAUAAGCUAAGCAUACGGGAGCCAACGUAACCCAAGUUGCCAAGGGAUGGCCCCGCACGGUGCUCUGGGUUGGACCAACACUUAGACAAGCACUGGCCCGGGGGUUUAAAUAAAGAUGACCCUUGGGCUGGCCUAACCCAAGGGAAAAAGAGGCUAGGUGGCAAAUGAUAAACCCAAUGUUGGGCCUUGCUGGAGGAGUUUUAUUCAAGGCGAACUGUCAAGGGGUUCCCAUUAUAACCCAACCGUGUAAGGAACGUAAAAUCCGGGAACAUAACACCGAUAUGACGGAAACUAGGGUGGCAAGAGUGGAACAAAACACCAGGCAUAAGGCUGAGCCUUCCACCCUUUACCAAGUAUAUAGAUGCAUUAAUUAAAUAAGAGAUAUUGUGAUAUCCCAACAAUAAUAUCCAUGUUCCAACAAGGAACAAGCUCCAAUCUGCACCUGCAACUAACACCGCUAUAAGAGGGGCUGAGCAAAAGCGGUAACAUAGACAAACAAUGGUUUGCUAGGACAAGGUGGGUUAGAGGCUUGGCUUAACAAUAUGGGAGGCAUGAUAAGGAAGUGGUAGGUAUCGCAACAUAGACAUAGCAAAAGAGUGAGCAUCUAGCAAGCAAAGAUAGAAUUGAUUUCGAGGGUGUGGUCAUCUUGCUUGAGAUCCCGCAAGGAAGAAGAACGAGUCCAAGAAGAAGACAAACGGACGUAGUCGAAUGGUUCCUCACAAACGCGACGUUAUCGGAACCAACCCGAAGAGCAACACAGGAAAGAAGCACACAAUAUAGUAAACAACCAACACAUGAGCAUGGCAUGAUAUGCGGGAUGCGGUAUGCGAUGCAUAUGCAUGAUUUGGAAAGAAAUGAUUGAACCUGGCCUCAAUUUGGAAAUCCAAGAGUGCCACUGGAAAUGUGAGGUGAUUUUGGUUGAAAUCGAUAUAAAGAUCACCGGAAUCGGAUGCAUGGUUUGGAAAUGGCAAGCAAAACAAAUAUGGCACCGGUCUGCGAUAAUCAGCAAGUGACCAUCUAAAUGCAUCAAGAACAACAUGCUACAACAUUCAAAUAUGACAACAAAAUACAUGGCAGGGAUCCACUCAUGAUGCUUGACAAAAGAUGAAUACUGAGCUACGGCUAAAUCACUCAAUAGCAAGCUCAAACAAGCAUGGCAAAAGUGCAAAAGAUAACAGGUUUCAGACUUGGUGAAAUAAACAGGAUAUCCGGAAUUUCUCAUCAGGAAGCAAUAUUCAGAGCACGAUAACUACAUGCUACAGGAACAUAUCAUGGCAAAGCAAGGCAUGGCAUGAAGCUACUCUAAGCAUAUAACAAAAGUCCCUUAGUUACCAUGAGCCAAAAGGGAUCAGAAAAUACAAUUGCAAGCAUGUGAACAUAGCAAAAACAUAAACAGAUUCAGACUUAGUGAAAAACUGGAGCAUGCAAACAAAUUAACAAGUAGGCAUGUUUACGAGCUCGAUGCACUCACUACAGAGCAUGGCAUGACAAACUAAGCAUACACCCAUGAAGAAGACAUGGCAUAGAAGCUAGAAAUGGCAAGAGCAACAACAUAGCAUGCACGGAACAACAACAACAACAACAAGCUUGGCAAAAUUGCUAAACAUGUUAACAAUCUGCCAGGAACAUUUUAUAGCAAAAGUAGAGCUCGAUUGACUCAAGCUAGGUUGCUCCAUAAUUGCAAACAAAGACAUGGAUGGAUAGGGCACAACAAUAUUAACAAAACAUCCUUACCGAUCAUCCUCAAAAGAGGCACGGAUCAAUAGGAAACAACAUGAACAUAUGGCAUAAAAAUAAUGACAGGGCAAGGACUUAGUGAAAUUCAAAGUCCCUGAAAUCAGCAUCAUUGAGUAAGCUACUUUGCAUGCUUGUGCUAGUCACCACAAAGAUCACAAAAAUACAUGGCAUACACCCAUGUAAAGAUGUCAUGGCAUAUAACAAAAGACAUGUAGAGCUCAGGGUCAUAGCAUGCACAUAUUAAUCAUGGCAAAAAUGACAAAAGGCCAUUUGCUGAAACAGAUCUGACAUAAUCCUCACAUAGCCCUCUUCCAACAGCAUUUCGGGUAUCAAGAUGAGCUCAAAUGAAAAUGAUGCAAUGAGAUGAAAUGAUGUACUCGUCGAGACGAACAUUUUGAUAUGCUACAUGCACGAAUCAGAGCUACGGUUGAUGAGUUAUGAUGCUCUGAAAAAUGCAUAAAAAUACUGGAACUUAGACGAAAUUCAACCUCCGGAGAGAGUCAACGGGAUCUCGUGGUACGGGACGGCGCGGUGCGGGACGGAGGGAGGCGUUUGGAUGGCCGAGCUGGUGGAUCUGGUCCACCCGACCAGAUCCGGCCGGCAAGGGGCUCUGGCGAGGGCGGGCCAUCUCCGGCGAGGCACGGUGGCGCAUGGCGACAAACUCCGGCGUGGCUGCCGGAGCACGGGACGGCAAGGAGGCUUCGGCGAGGCGGCGGCUCCACGGGAAUUGCGGCGAGGACCGGUGUCAGGGCGACGGCGCGGAGCGGCUCCGGCGGAGCUCACCGGCGCGGGGGUCGGUGAAGGCGGCGAGGCGGCGGAGCAGGGCGGAGGCGACGGCCAGUGCUGAGGAGGAAGACGACGGGGCGCGGGGCGUGGUCGCGGGCCGGGAGGGCUGGACGCGGGCCCGAGCGGGCCGCGGCGAUGUGGGCACGCCAGCACGGCGGCUCGGCCAGUCGCGGAGCGACACGUGGUGGCGGAUGGCGACACGGACGUGUCCGGCACGGUGGAAGAAAUGUCCGGCGGCGGCGGGGAGAGUUAGGGUAGGGUUUGCACCGCGAAUUUCGGAGGGGAUCACAUAUUUAUAGGUAAAGGGAGCUAGGAGGGUCCAAAUGAGGUGCGGUUUUCGGCCACGCAAUCGUGAUCGAACGACCGAGAUGAUGGAGGAGGUUUAGUUGGGGUUUGGGCCAGUUUGGAGGGGUGUUGGGCUGCAACACACACGAGGCCUUAUCGGUCCCUCGGUUAACCGUUGGAGUAUCAAACGAAGUCCAAAUGUUAUGAAACUUGACAGGCGGUCUACCGGUAGUAAACCAAGGCCGCAAGACAAGUCUCGGUCCAAUCCGAAAACGUUUAACACCCGCACACGAAAAGAGGUAGAAAGGGACACCGGAUGACAUAGGAGCGCCGGAUUGCAAAACGGACAACGGGGAAAAUGCUCGGAUGCAUGAGACGAACAUGUUUGCAAAUGAAAUGCACAUGAUGACAUGAUAUGACAUGCAUGACACGCAAGCAAUGACAAGGCAACAACAGUGAAUAACUGGAGGACACCUGGUGUUAGGGAACGUAGUAAUUUCAAAAAAAAAUCAUACGCACACGCGAGAUCAUGUGAUGCAAAGCAACGAGAUGGGAGAGUGUUGUCUACGUACCCUCAUAGACCGAAGCGGAAGCGUUGAUGCAACGUAGAGGAAGUAGUCGUACGUCUUCCCGGUCCAACCAAUCCAAGCACCGUUACUCCGGUACCUCCGAGCUCUUGGCACACGUUCAGCUCGAUGACGCUCCCCGGGCUCCAAUCCAGCAAAGCUUCGGGGAGGAGUUCCGUCAGCACGACGGCGUGGUGACGAUCUUGAUGUUCAACCGUCGCAAGGCUUCGCCUAAGCACUACUACAAUAUGACCGAGGUGGAAUAUGGUGGAGGGGGGCACCGCACACGGCUAAGGAACGAUCACGAAGAUCAACUUGUGUGUCUAUGGGGUGCCCCCUGCCCCUGUAUAUAAAGGAGUGGAGGAGGGGAGGGCCGGCCCUCUCUAUGGCGCGCCCUAGGGGAGUCCUACUCCCACCGGGAGUAGGAUUCCCCCUUUCCUAGUCCAACUAGGAGUCCUUCCAUGUAGUAGGAGUAGGAGACAAGGAAGGGGAAGGGAGAAGGGAAGGAAGGAGGGGGCGCAGCCCCUCCCCCUAGUCCAAUUCGGACUAGGCCUUGGGGGGGCGCGCGGCCUGCCCUAGGCAGCCCCUCUCUCUUUCCCGUAUGGCCCAAUAAGGCCCAAUACUUCUCCCCCCGUAUUCCCGUAACUCCCCGGUACUCCGAAAAAUACCCGAAUCACUCGGAACCUUUCCGAUGUCCGAAUAUAGUCAUCCAAUAUAUCGAUCUUUACGUCUCGACCAUUUUGAGACUCCUCGUCAUGUCCCCGAUCUCAUCUGGGACUCCGAACUCCUUCGGUACAUCAAAACUCAUAAACUCAUAAUAUAACUGUCAUCGAAACCUUAAGCGUGCGGACCCUACGGUUCGAGAACAAUGUAGACAUGACCGAGAUACGUCUCCGGCCAAUAACCAAUAGCGGGACCUGGAUGCCCAUAUUGGCUCCUACAUUUUCUACGAAGAUCUUUAUCGGUCAGACCGCAAAACAACAUACGUUGUUCCCUUUGUCAUCAGUAUGUUACUUGCCUGAGAUUCGAUCGUCGGUAUCCAAUACCUAGUUCAAUCUCGUUACCGGCAAGUCUCUUUACUCGUUCCGUAAUACAUCAUCCCGCAACUAACUCAUUAGUUGCAAUGCUUGCAAGGCUUAAGUGAUGUGCAUUAUCGAGAGGGCCCAGAGAUACCUCUCCGACAAUCGGAGUGACAAAUCCUAAUCUCUAAAUAUGCCAACCCAACAUGUACCUUUGGAGACACCUGUAGAGCUCCUUUAUAAUCACCCAGUUACGUUGUGACAUUUGGUAGCACACAAAGUGUUCCUCUGGCAAACGGGAGUUGCAUAAUCUCAUAGUCAUAGGAACAUGUAUAAGUCAUGAAGAAAGCAAUAGCAACAUACUAAACGAUUGGGUGCUAAGCUAAUGGAAUGGGUCAUGUCAAUCAGAUCAUUCAUCUAAUGAUGUGAUCCCGUUAAUCAAAUAACAACUCUUUGUCUAUGGAUAGGAAACAUAACCAUCUUUGAUUAACGAGCUAGUCAAGUAGAGGCAUACUAGUGACACUCUGUUUGUCUAUGUAUUCACACAUGUAUUAUGUUUCCGGUUAAUACAAUUCUAGCAUGAAUAAUAAACAUUUAUCAUAAAAUAAGGAAAUAAAUAAUAACUUUAUUAUUGCCUCUAGGGCAUAUUUCCUUCACCUGGUACAUUGGUCUCGGGGCGCUACAGGAUAUUACUACUGGACGUAAACCGGCCAGGGGUAACCGAAUUAACUUUAUGAAGACUAGAAGCCCAUGAAGAAGUAAGAAUGAUGGCGCUUUAUGAAGGCCCAAGGCCCAGAGGCGAGUUAAGGCAUGUAGAUGUUAACUGACCUUAUUAUGUAACUUGCAUUGUAAGAUAGGAAGGGUAGAGACCGAACCAGACACGUUUAUGAUCCGGCUUCGGGACUCUGUAAACCGGCGGGCGUCAACCUAUGUAUAUAAAGGGACGACCCGGCAGCGAUUUAGGAACAACAGACAACAACUCGAGAACCAGACAAAGCGGAUUCACUCCCUGGUCUUUGAAACCCUAGCAAUACCAAUCACAACUAGACGUAGGCUUUUACCUUCAUCGAAGGGGCCGAACUAGUAUAAACUCCCCCUGUCCCCUUGUCCGGUUUAACCCCUUUAAGCUAACCGGUUGCGAUGGCUCCACGACUAAGUCCUUUCAUGAGGACAUGUACCGUGACAAACCCACGACAGUUGGCGCCCACCGUGGGGCUAUCGCACGAUGGUUUCGAGUUCUUAAAGGGCAGCUUUGAUGGACUCAAGGGAUACGCUAUGGGCCGGAUGACAAAGAGUCGUCGCGGCAAGCUCUACAUCGACAAUGCAGGAUGGGGCCCCGAGGCCGACUCAAUUGAAUACGGGUACCGGGUCCCCUUUGGUGGGAUUCACGUCUUCAUCGGCAGGAUUGGUGAACCGGGCCCUGAGCUAGACACCUGCACCGACAUCAUCGAGACGGCUCAGCGUGCAAGCCCUUCCCCGGUUCAGCCCAUGGCAAAGCAUGUUUUCGUAGGUGUCAUCCACGGAGCAGAAUAUGAGGACGGACCGACAUCUAAUGGAGAAACCGUCGUCUGCUUCGACGGCGAGUCUUCUGGGGAGACUGAAUCGCUUUAUCAGCUGCAGGACGGCCGAAUUAGUGGGGGUUCCGAGGGCAACAGUAUUCCAGACUCCCCUGAUCUACCAAACUGGGCAGCUAUCUUCAUGGCCGGUACACAAUCAGCGCCCCACUCAUCGACCGCCGCAGCAAUGCUCUCUGGUUCAGCAACAACCAUGCCAGCAGGGGCAGGGGGCUCUGCGCCACCUCCGGCUCAAGUUCUGUCUGACUUGUUCGACGCUUUGGCAACAUUGAUGGUCGCAGAGGUGGAUGCAGCGGCCCGGGAUCAGCACAACACGGAGAUCGCAAAGGUAAAGGAUCAGAUAACUCAGGCUAAAGUGGACCUAGCAGUAGAGAACGCUAGGAUGGCUAUAGAACGGGCCGAGUUGGAAGCUCAGGCCUACCGGCUUAGGCUGGAUUAGAAUGCUUCAGAGGAAGUCAUGAGAAGAAGAUACCGAUCGCAUCUCCCGCCGAGUUAUGAGCCAAGGAAUCUCUUCAAUACGCCAGGAGCAGGAACAAGUAACCAGCCAAUAGUAAACCGGACGGAGGCACCAGGGACAGGAGCACCGGUUCAGCCGCGCACGACGGACCCACCUCGUCAGAACAACAUUGUGCUGCAGUAUGUUCCAACACAUCCUGGGCAGUACUCCAACCCGUUGGACAACAUUGUGGCUGCCGCUUCACGCUUGGCAGCCCUCCCAACCGACGGUGAAUCACCAGUUGCUAUUGAGGCACGACGGGCCAGAGAUCUCCUUCAAACAGCUCUAAACCAGCAGCAGGCAUAUUCGCACAGUCGUGAGAGGAUUCAUUCCACUCCCCGUCCAAGCCGGAGCUAUAGCAGGCACGUUGAGGAUGAACCGGCCGUGUCAAGCAGUGCACGUCGCCGUAAUUCGCCGCGAGGGCACAACCCGGUAGGGGGAGGCGCUAAUGCGCAGGAUGUGGUGGAUCAUGGUCGCGCGCGUCGAGAGGCCGAGUUAGCAGCUCUGCACGGAGCUCGUCAACAUACUCCGGUUCACCCUACCGCUUCAGUAGAGCCAGGUGUGAUAUUCAGUUCCUUAGGGGUGCCGUUUCUCACCCUCGCUUUGCGUAAUGUGAGGUUACCCAAGGACUUCAAGGGACCUCGUAAGGUACCCAAUUACACCGCCGAUCUGCAACCAGAGGCAUGGGUUGAAAGCUACGAGAUGGCAAUGGAGAUGUUAGAUGUGGAUGAGGCAGUAUGUGCUAAAUACUUUACCAUGAUAUUGAAAGGAACAGCUCGCACUUGGUUAAAAAGCUUACCAACUAACUCUGUGGGAUCAUGGGCCGAAUUGAAGCACCGGUUUAUCCAGAACUUCAAAGAUACUUGUAAGCAACCCAUGUCAAUUGUGGAUCUGGCCGCUUGUGUCCAAGAGGAUGGGGAGUCCACGACCCAUUGGGUAAAUCGGGUCUCAGCUAUUCUGCAUUCAUCGGAUCGUAUCAAUGCAGAUACUGCAGUGCUAACAUUGGAGGGCAAUUGCCGUUUUCUGCCGCUCAAACAGAAGUUAGGAAGGCACGAACGUCACUGCAAUGAUAUGUCAACGCUUAUGGCCGCUUUGGUUAAGUACGCCGAUUCAGAUAAUACCAAAGACUCUGACUCAGAGGAGGACAAACUUGGGAAAGGGAAAAAGAACGGCAACACCAAGGGUCAGCAACAUAAUCCGGCAGGUCAUGGGAACAAUGGUAAACGCAAGGCCGACAACAGUCUGGACUUUGUGGCUAACACCAAUGCUCAGGAGAAUGGUCAGCGUCGUAAGGGUAAGCAGCCCCAGAGGGGCAGAGGUUCAGGCCCCAAUUUGGAGUGCCUGUUAAAUCAACCCUGUCCGAAGCAUGGAUCAAAGGAGAAGCCAGCAUCACAUCUUUGGAAGGAUUGUUACAUCAUGCGGGAUUUCAAGAACUCCAUUAUGUUUCAGUAUGAUAAUGGCCCGCUGGGCGGUUCAGGAGGUGGUUUCCACGGGCCGGGUUACGGAGGCGGCAGCUCCGGUUCAGGAUUUCAGGGCAAUCAAACCGGACACGGUAAUCAAGGGAACCAUGGCAACCAAGGAGGUUACAACCAUCAGGGGAACCAGCAGCAACAGUAGCAGUCGGGUUAUCAGAGCAAUCCUAAGCAGCUAAAUAGUGGGCAAUAUCAUGUCUUCACCACUAGCUUGUGUAAGCAUGAUCAGAAGCUUCACAAGAGGGCAGUAAACUCUGUUGAACCGGCGGUGCCUCAGUAUUUGCGCUGGUCUAAGCAACCCAUUUUGUGGAGUAGAGAGGAUCACCCACCCCGGGUUGACAAUCUGGGUCACUUGGCCCUAGUAGUGGCCCCUCAAGUUAGGGGAUAUAAGUUCACUAAGCUACUCAUGGAUGGGGGAAGUAGUAUCAACAUUCUAUAUUAUGAUACCUUCCGUCGUAUGGGGUUGACAGAUAAGAGUCUUAAACCAUCAAACACUGUUUUCCACGGUGUGGUGCCUGGCAAGUCUGCAUAUCCAGUGGGCAAGAUAGCCUUAGAGGUGGCUUUUGGAGAUGACUAUGAUUCAAGGUCAGAAACACUGACUUUUGAGGUGGUGAAAAUCAAAAGUCCGUAUCACGCUUUGUUUGGGCGACCGGCUUAUGCUAAGUUCAUGGUGAGGCCGUGUUAUGUUUAUCUACAACUUAAAAAUGCCUGGUCAUAAGGGGACCAUCAUAGUACACGGGAGCAGGAAUAUCGCUUUGGAAUGUGAGGAAGGUGAUGCGGCUUAUGCUGAGUCGGUUUGUGCCACGGAGGAGCUGAAGUUUUAUAAAGACCAAGUUGAUCCGGCGGAUAUGACCUCUUUGAAAAAGCCAACUACGAAACACGAUCCAGCAUUGAAAUUUAAAUCGGCCACAGAUACUAAGAUGGUUGAUUUUGUUCCUGGCGAUUCAUCCAAGCAGUUCAGCAUCAGCGCUAACCUGGAUCCCAAAUAGGAAAGCGCGCUCAUCGAUUUCAUCCGUGAGAACCGGGACAUCUUUGCAUGGAAACCUUCUGACAUGCCAGGUGUACCGAGGGAACUCGUUGAGCACACACUUAACAUUGAUCCUAAGUUUAAACCGGUCCGGCAGUUUCUCCGCCGCUUCAAUGAAGAAAGGCGCAAGGCUAUUGGUGAGGAGGUAGCUCGGUUGUUGGCCGCAGGGUUUAUCGUGGAGGUCUUUCACCCAGAGUGGUUGGCUAAUCCGGUGCUGGUUCUUAAGAAAAACGGCACUUGGCGUAUGUGUGUGGAUUACACAGACUUAAACAAAGAUUGCCCUGCAGACCCCUUUGCCCUCCCUCGUAUUGACCAUAUCAUUGAUGCUACGGCGGGUUGUGACCGUUUGUAUUUUCUGGACGCUUAUUCUGGUUAUCAUCAGAUCAAGAUGGUAGUUAAGGACCAGGAGAAGACAACUUUCCUAACUCACUUUGGAGCCUUCUGCUAUGUCUUCAUGCCAUUUGGGCUCAAAAGUGCCCAGGCGACUUAUCGACGAUGUGUUCAGAAUUAUCUUCAUAAGAAGAGUGGACGCAAUGUUCAUGCAUAUGUGGAUGAUAUUGUGAUAAAGUCCAGGAAGGAGGAAACAUUGAUACAUGAUUUGAGAGAAACCUUUGACAACCUCCGGGUUUACAAGAUGAUGCUCAAUGCGGAAAAGUGUGUCUUUGGUGUUCCGGCAGGCAAACUCUUGGGUUUUCUGGUGUCAAAUAGAGGCAUUGAGGCUAAUCCGGAAAAAAAUUCAGCAAUUACAUCUUUGGCUAAACCGGCGUGUAUCAAUGGCGUUCAACGUCUGGCCGGCUGGAUUGCGGCUUUGAGCCGGUUUAUCAGUCGUCUUAGGGAGAAGGCUAUCCCUUUAUAUCAGUUGCUCAAGAAAACAGAUGAUUUUGUCUGGAGUGAGGCAGCUGAUAAAGCGUUGGAGGAUCUGAAGAGGCAGUUAGCUGAACCGCCUGUGCUUGCAGCACCGAUCGAUAAGGGGCCGUUAUUGCUAUAUGUGGCUGCUAAUGCCCGAGCUGUUAGCGUGGCUAUUGUGGUGGAGCGCAAGGAAGCUGGCAAGGAAUAUCCGGAUCAACGACCAGUUUAUUAUAUUAGUGAGGUGCUCAUUGAGUCAAAUCAGAGGCACCCACAUUCGCAGAAACUAGUGUAUGGAGUGUUUAUGGCCAGCCGGAAGCUUAAACACUAUUUUCAGGGUCAUCCUAUCAUAGUGGUCAGUUCAGCCCCUCUGGGAGAUAUCAUUCAAAACAGAGAAGCAACUGGCCGGAUUUCCAAAUGGGCUAUUGAGCUUGGACCUCACGGGCUCAAAUACAUACCUCGCACAACAACUAGAUCCCAAUCACUCGUGGACUUCAUCAAUGAUUGGACAGAAUUGCAGGCACCAGAGGAAAAGCCAGAUAACACGUAUUGGACUAUUCACUUUGAUGGAUCCAUGCAGUUGGAAGGCUCGGGGGCUGGAGUCAUACUAACUUCCCCAUGAGGUGACAAGUUUUGUUAUGUCCUUCAUUUAAUGUUCCCUUGUACUAACAAUGCAGCUGAAUAUGAGGCCUUACUCCACGGUCUUCGGAUGGCUAAGGAGAUGAACUUAAGCUGGGUUAAGUGCUUUGGGGAUUCAGAUCUGGUGGCCCAACAGGUGUGUGGCACUUGGGAUUCUAUAGACCCACUCAUGGCUACAUAUCGACGAGAGGUGGACAUAGUGGCUGGUCACUUCAAGGGUUAUCAGGUGGACCAUAUAGACCGGCGAAAGAAUGAAGCGACGGACGCUUUAAGCCGCCUUGGUUCUCAGCGUAAACCGGUCCCACCAAAUGUCUUUCUUGACGUGUUGCAUAAUCCGUCGGUCAAAGUACCAACAGAGAAGGAGUUGGCUAUUCCUGAUCCGGAGGCUCAAUUGGUGGCAGCUUUGCAUGUCAUACCGGAUUGGACAAUCCCAUACCUGGCUUACAUGAACCGGGGCGAGUUACCAGAGGAUGAAACCUCGGCCCGGCAGAUAAUUCGGCAUUCCAAAUCGAUGACUAUACUCAAUGGAGAAUUACAUCGUUACAGCGUCUCAGGGGCAAUUCAGCGUUGUGUUUCUCCUCAAGAGGAUUGUGAGAUUUUGUGAGAAAUCCAUGAAGGGGAUUGUGGUCACCACGCCGGUUCAAAGUCUUUGGUGGCUAAAGCUUUUCGCCACGGUUUCUAUUGGUUAACAGCUCAAGCUGAUGCUGAGGAUUUAGUCAGACGAUGUGACGGUUGUCAAAAAUUUGCACGUCGUGCUCAUAUUCCGGCUCAGGAGUUGAGGAUGAUUCCAAUAACAUGGCCGUUUGCGACUUGGAGGCUUGAUAUGGUUGGACCCUUUAAACGCUCCAAGGACAAAAAGACCCAGUUAUUAGUGGCAGUUGAUAAAUUCACCAAAUGGGUGGAAGCAGAGCCAGUCAGUAAGUGUGAUGCAGCCAUGGCGGUUCAAUUCAUCAAAAAGGUGAUAUUCCGAUUUGGCUUUCCACACAGUAUUAUAACUGAUAAUGGUACUAAUCUGUCAAAGGGAGAGAUGGAGGAAUUUUGCCAACGUGAGCACAUCCGGCUUGAUAUAGCAUCGGUGGCUCACCCCCAAUCUAAUGGUCAAGCGGAGAGGGCGAAUCAAGAAAUUUUGAGAGGUAUUAAACCCCGGCUUAUGGUUCCUUUGAAGCGGACACCGGGUUGUUGGGUGGAGGAAUUACCUUCUGUGUUAUGGAGCAUCAACACCACACCUAACAGAUCGACGGGUUACACACCUUUCUUCAUGGUUUAUGGAGCGGAGGCGGUUCUCCCUAGUGACAUCCGUCACGACUCGCCCCGUGUGGUAGCUUAUGUUGAAACUGAUAAUGAGACAACACGUCAGGAUUCUCUGGACCUGUUAGAUGAGGAGCGUGAUCUUGCAGCAGCACGUUCGACGAUUUACCAAUAAGAUCUCCGACGUUAUCACAGCCGCCGGGUUAAGACCAGAACUUUUCAAGAAGGCGAUCUGGUGCUCCGGCUCAUCCAGGAUCAGACUGAUAUGCACAAGUUAUCCCCACCUUGGGAAGGACCUUUUGUGGUCAGCAAGAAUCUGCACAACGGGUCAUACUACCUCAUUGAUGUUCGAGAGCACAAAGACUCACGUAAAUCGGAGGAGGAGACCAAGCGGCCAUAGAAUAUAGCUCUUCUUCGGCCUUACUAUACUUAAGCCACAUGCUUCUUCAUAUGUACAUAUUUAUGACAGUGUAUAUAUUAUAUAAUAAUCCGGAGCCUCGAAUAAAGCGGGGUCUCUAUUCUUUUUACAUCAUGUGUGCCUACAAGAGUUUCUACUGACAAAGCAAAGUUUUGUUAAACCGGUCUCUGUAGCCGCACGGAUACAAAGAGAUAUCACCAGGGGGCUUGGUUGUUGUCACACCAUAGCUACACCUCUUGAUCGGUUUAAACACCACAGAGGGAUUUCACUAGGGGGCUUGGUUGUUAUCAUACCAUAGCUACACCUCUUGAUGGGCAUUAAGCCACAAAGGAAAUUAGGUGGGGCCAAAGAGAGUGUUGCACAAAGCACAAACUCAAACAUGGCACCCACUAAGCACAACUCACAAAGUUACUUGGGGGCUCUUUGUGAAAAGAACAAAGACUUUGAAAGGACCUUUGUAAUUGGCUAUCAAGCCACGGCUUGGAAGCCUGGUGUAUUCACCUAAAACCCCGGGUUAACCUGCCUUCAUCAAGUAAGCCACUCCUGUCCAGGUAAUCCUGGUAUGACCCGCCGAACGUUUGACAAGUCAAUCUUAUACAGACCCUGAAAUUGUCAAAGUUAAAACGACGAUUGGUUAAUUGGAGGCCCAUCUUAAAAGGCUUUGUUAAAUGGUUUAACUCAGAGGCCUGGAAGCCCAUGAAAAGCCUCGAUUUGGAGCCUGGCAGCUCGUAAAAAGCCUCACAUGUUUCUUUUUCGAGUCCUAUUUGCUAAGUUUUUUCGCCUUUAUUGAGGUUCAUAAUGUCUUCUGAUAAACCAAUGUCCUUAACCUGGCUUGGCUUUCAACUACAAGUUGUCAGUACAUGAUCAGUUAUAAACCGGCAUUCGUUACCCCGGUCUGGUUUUUACUAACAAGUCACCAGUGUUAUAAGGAAACCCCGAUGUUUAUUAUAUCUCGGUACGGUUUAUUAUCAUAAUCCGGCAAAUUAAGGACAGAGUUAUCACUGCUCCGGAUUGGUGUUUACACCUUUACCAUACAAGCAGUUGGUCAGCCAACGAGGUAUGUUGCACAUGUUAUUUUUUAUAUACAAACUUUUAUUAUCCAUUCAAGUAUUGUCUAUUCUUGGGCAUCAUGACCCGUCCAGUGGUAAACCACUAGGACACCUUUCAAGUUCUUGUAUCCAGGAACACAAAUCAUCAUGGGUUAUGCAUAAAUAGAUCCCAAAAGGUGGAGCAAGUUUUCACAUUAUCAAAGCAUCACAAAACAUGCUCGAUGGCAUGACAGAUAAAGGAGUUUUUGCUAUCCUAUUACAUGAAGCUUCCAAACGGCUCCGAUUGAGUAGUCGUUUUUAAGCAUUGGCACACAAUAGCUGGUAAACUGGCUGCCGGUUUAAGACGCUUCGUCUGGACGGUUUGACGGUUGAGGGUCAGUUGGUGCGAUCACUUCUUCUUCAUCCCUUCCCAGACGCUGGAAAUCAACCGUUGACCAAUCGAUUCCAGUUAAAGCUUGAAACACGGCUUCUUCAUGGAUAAGGCUGGAGGGGUUAAUGUCAGGAGUGUAAGUAUGCUUACGGAUUGGAGGCACAAGUUCUUCGACUUCAUGGAUUUCGGCAGGCUGUCUCUUCCCUUCAGCGUCAUAAGCCGGUUGGAAAUGAGACAAUUAUGUCUCCUCUACCAGUUUGCUGGCUAUUGGCCGCAUUUCUUUGGUCAGCCUUCGGAGGUCAUCAUUGUCGAAGUUUGAACCGUCCUCCUUCACACCUGGAUAUCCUUUAAUGAUUUCUUCCGCUUCAAGGUCUGGAAUCCAUGCCUUGGCUCGGAUUAGUGCGGUUAAUGCUCCUGCUCUUGCAGCUGCCUUCUUCAGUUCGGUAAUCCGGGCUGGUAACAUGGCCAGCUUCUCAAGAGUUUCCUUUAUCAGUGAUGGCACUGGUUUAUUGUAAGCCGCAAUACAAAUCGCACGCUGGGACCCAAAGUACAGCUGUUCAAUCAAGGUAUAAGCCGCUUUAAGCUUCAUCCGCAUAUCUGUGCCCAGAUGAGCAAUAUGAGUGCUUGUCAUGGUUUAAAAUCAGCACUCUGGUAAAUGAUAAGGUUUCAUGAAUUGGACAAACUGCAUAAGGAGAUACUUACCAAAGACAGCGAAAGUCAUGGCGUUGAUUUGCCGUUUCAAACUAGUUAGUUCAUCCACAACUGGCUUCAGGGCUGCUUCGGCAUCUUCAACUUUUUUUGUUAAACCGGCCUUCUCGGUUUCCCAAUCAGCAUGUUCUUUGUUAAAAGCCUCCUUUAGCUUUUCCAUAGUUGUCAAAGCUUUGGUCAGCUCCUCUUUGGCUUUCAUAGCCUCUGCUUGUUGGGACUUCACGCUCUCUUGCAAAUCAGCGGUUCGGGCAUCUCUAUUGCUUAGCUCGGCCUGCAACAGUGAAGAUAUGUCAACAACAGGAUAUGUAUUUUCUAAGUACAAAGCGUAUAACAAGUUAUGCACUUCAUACUUGGGGGCUAAUGCCUAUUUGCUCUCAUUCACUACAUUUUUUAUAAAGUCUCCAGCACAAUGCAAGCAUUAUCCUUGACACUUGGGGGCUAAUGUACAUCUGUUCAAAACGGACGCAUAGAUUUCAAGGCUCGGAUUACCUUGCAAAGUUAAACCAGCCUUUGGGGGCUACGUUAAGGAAAUCUACAUAAUUGCAGUGGUAAAAUAUUGGUUUUUAAGGACCUGACAUUUUGAGGGUCAGCAGGAGAGGAUUAAAGUGUUACAAAGUCCCGGUUUAAGAUUAAUCAUCAUAAAAUGGCCCUUGGGGGCUACUUGGGCUAGUGUUUCAACUUUGGAAUUAAGAAGUAAAGGGAGAUGAAAAUACCUCAUAGCGUUCCUUCAUCAGGUUCACUAAACAGGCUUCAUAGUCACGGUUUGAGUGAAGACGGUUUAAAAACCCGGAGUGAAGUUCUUCAACAUUGAGAUGAGCAUAACUUGAUAAGUCAUUGCUCCAUUUACCCUUUUCCCUGGCAGCACGCUCCUCUUUGGCACUAUGUUGGGCUAAGAUGACAGGAUGGCCAGGAGAGUUGUGGCCCAUGCCAGUAAUGAUAACAUCAACUCCUUGGCCUUUAGUAGUAUCAGUGCCUUUCACCGGACUAGCACGGUUUGGAGCUUCCGGUUCAGUAUCAGGCAUAGCAGGAGCAACUUCUGGUUGUUCAUCAACAUUCUGGUCUUGAAGGGGCGGUUCAUCAAAGGUAGCUUCAGGAUGAGGACCCUCCGGUUCAUGAGUUUGGUCCAGUUCACCUAUUUGCUCUUCUUCAAAAUCUGCCUGGUCUUCUGACGGAUUGUUGACCCGAGCUUUCUUGCUGGGUCUGGCUUUGGCUCCGCAAACAAAAUUACAAGAGGUUUAGCAUCUUAUUCAAAGAUUGGCAAACGCAUUUGAAGGAAGGGUUUGAAUGCUUACCCAGCUACAGUCUUAAGAGGGGGGAGUUGGGUUGCUGUUGACUCGCCAGAAGAUGAGGGAGGUGUCACCUCAUAAUUUGAAUCGGACAGAUUAAGAGGUUGUCUGAAAUAACCUGCCUUGGGAUAAGAAUUGUCAGAAGUGGGAGAGACCUCAGAUCGGCGCUUUCGAACCGGGGUAUCAGGUAAACCGGCCGAAGUGACCUAUUGGCCACUCUGCCGGGUUGUCCGGCGAGCUUCAUGCUGCUGUGUCUUCAAAAUAAAUGUUGGAUCCAAGUAAGCAAGAGGAUGAGAAAAGCUUACUUUCCGGAUUGCUUGACGGGUUUUUUUGUGUUGGCAUAGAGUCUGACCCGGAGGAAAGGGUAAUUACCUCUACAUCAUUAGCCUGGCUGCCUUCUACAUCCUCCUGAUAAAGAUCAUUGUUAAUGAGGUGCAUGAAAAGGGAGCCAAGUGAGUCAAGUUCUACCUCAACUUCCGGAUCAUCUGCAUCUUCAUCAAGCUCCAUGCUGAUCCGGUCAGCCGUUUUCCACUUUGAGGUACGCUUGACAGCUUUGGUUUUGGGACGGGAUGGCUUUGCCGCUUUAUCUAUGGAUUUCCGUUUCCAGAAGGGAUCAUCACCAUGUUCAUACAUAAACAGAGGAAGGUUCACAAGUUGAACAAAUCAAAAGAUAUCAAAGAUAAAAAGGAAACAUCGUGCUUACAGCAGACGGUUUAUUCUGAGUGUAGAAUGGGCUCAAGCCGAUUUGGCGACAGACUGAUUCCGGUUCAUUCAAAAUUUUCUUAACGCUUUCAGUGACCUCUUCAUCGGUUACCUGAAUGUUGAUGUGGCGUUGGGGGUCUUCAACCUCACCGGUAUACUCACACAUUAAACCGGGGCGGCGGCUUAGUGGCAAGAUGCUCCACGAUAUCCAGCAACGCACAAAAUCAACGGCUGUUAAACCGUUGGCCAUAAAGGCCCGGAGCUUGGCGAGUUGAGGGGCAUAUUUAGCCCGUUCCGCGGAGCUUAAAUGUUGUGGGAGUGGAUGAGUGUUGGAAAGCCGGUGAUCACGAUAGCCUGGAAGAGGGUUUUCAUCUUCAAGGGAGGUAUCUAUGCAGUAGAACCAAGUCUGGUUCCAUUCCUUAGGGUGACUAUGCAGUUUGACAUGAGGGAAUUGAACUUCCUUCCGCUUUUGAAUAGAAACACCACCAAGUUCAGUGUUGGGACCAUUUACAAAUUCUAUACGCCGGUUCAGAUGAAAGAAGUCCCGGAACAGCUCAGCACUCGGUUCUUCUUGUAAGUACACUUCACAGAAGACCUGGAAGUUGCAUAGAUUGGAUACCGAGUUGGGUCCGAUAUCUUGAGGAUGGAGUUGGAAACUGGCAAGCACAUCUCAGUAAAACUUUGACCCUGGCGGUUUGAAACCACGGCCUAUGUGGUCGACAAAGACCACAACCUCACCCUGCCUCGGGGUUGGAGGAUUUUUUGCUCCUGGAACUCGCCAUCGAAUUUCAGUUUUCUUAGGCAAGGUGCCUAUGCUGACCAUUCCGUUCAACUGUUCCUCGAUGACCCGGGAACGAGCCCAGUUGCAAGCAACAAAUCGUUUGGCCAUUGUGAAACGAAAAGAUGGAAAAGAAAUGCUGGUUUACAAAUCAUUCAUGAUGACAUGCAAGAUGCAAUGGAAUAAAAGACAUACCGAUAUGUGAAAUUGCAUAAACUGGAGACUAAUGCAAUAAUGAAUAACAAGGCCAUAUCGGAACAAGGGUAUACAGAUACUGUUAAACCGGAGUAUAACAAUGGGGGUAAAAGGCUCCUCCAGAUUACCAGAGGGCUAAUGGUAUAGAUUGCUUAUACAAAGGUAAAUCGCCAAAGUGAUAAGAGGGUACAGAUCUAAGGCAAAAACGACUAGGUAAGGUAAAACAGGUUCCACAAAGGGACAUGGAUAUUUUGGAUCUACUGAAAGACAGGAAAGCAAAAAUAUUUUGACCUAAAAGGGUUGGUCCCGAAGCAGUUCGUAAAAGUUCAGAUCAGUUCUUAUGCACAUAAAGGUUUGUGGUGAUAGAGGAAGAUAAACCAUUACGCGGAACAUAUCAACAUUGAGAUUUUUUAUCCAUUGAUUAAGGAGGAACAGGAAAGAGCAGCACCAGAACUCUGAUGAACUUCAAUGAACUGCGAAGAACAAGGAAACCCUAGAUAGAUCUACAAGGGGGGAAAGAAAAGGACUUAUAGUGACUAUUGAAGCAACGGAGGAAUGCCGCAGCUCUCUGGUAACGGUCAGGUUGAUGCAGCGACCUUUUUCGAAGCAGAGGAGAAGCUCGGUGACGGUGGCGGCGCUCAGGGGCAGAGGUGUCGCGAGGAGGAAGAAGCGAAGGAGACGAAGGGGAAAAGUGAUAAGGAUCCAUGUCCCUAUUUAUAAGGCGGAGUGAUAAAACGACAAGUGCGGGAAUCGAGGAGCUCAAAAUGGAUAGUUAAUAAUGGCGUCGCCUCGAUGACUGGAUAUGCAUUAAUGAAGGUAAUCUUCAGCUUCAAUGGAUAGAUGACCUUAGGGCAGUUUAUCAUGAUCCUAGAGUAUGACGUCACGACGGUUUACAAGAUCAAGGUGAAGAUGCAAAGGAGGAGUUUUUUCUAAGUAUUGAAGAUUGAUAUGAACAAGUUCAAACCAAUCUGGGGCCUAAUGUUGGGAAUAUUACUACUGGACGUAAACCGGCCCGGGGUAACCGGAUUAACUUUAUGAAGAUUAGAAUCUCAUGAAGACGUAAGAAUGAUGGCGCUUUAUGAAGGCCCAAGGCCCAGAGGUGAGUUAAGGCCUGUAGAUGUAAACCGACCUUAUUAUGUAACUUGCAUUGUAAGAUAGGAAGGGUAGAGACCAAACCGGACACGUUUAUGAUCCGGCUUCGGGACUCUGUAAACCGGCGGGCGUCAACCUAUGUAUAUAAAGGGACAACCCGGCAGCGGUUUAGGAACCACAGACAACAACUCGAGAGCUAGACAAAGCGGAUUCGCUCCCUGGUCUUCGAAACCCUAGCAAUACCAAUCACAACUAGACGUAGGCUUUUACCUUCAUCGAAGGGGCCGAACUAGUAUAAACUCCCCGUGUCCCCUUGUCCGGUUUAACCCCUUUAAGCUAACCCGUUGCGAUGGCUCCAUGACUAAGUCCUUUCAUGAGGACAUCUGUCGUGACAAACCCACGACAAAGAGGCUGAGUCAAGGGAAUAAGUUAAGACAGAGCACAGGACGCUACUAACAAUAGCGUCCACCCCUGGACGUUCUUAGCAAUAGCGGCCGGACCUGGACGCUAUUAAUCACAGCAAAAAUGCUAGACCUAGGAAAGCAUCGUACGUAACCUACGUAAUUACCCUCCUCCCAUAACUAAACCGUCACCCCACCCCCCAUUUUCAGGGUGAGCCCGUGCGCUUAAUGAAAACCAAUGAAAACCUGCCAACUAAUUAUGUAGGCCUUUCCUUCGUAAGUCGCUACGUAGAUGUAGAAAAGCUCUAAUCACAGCGUCCUUCCUAAUUUCACAAUUUCCAGCUGCCCUUUAUGAGUUCCGUAAUUAGAGAAUUCUUAUUUAUUAUUAAUAAAAAAAUCGGGUUUUACAUCAACCAAGCAUCAUAGAAGGAUAACACACGCGCGCGGACAGACAUCCCGCUAGGGAUGCCAUAAGUACAAGACAUGAAGAAAGCACGGGAACUAAAGGGGCUUGCUUGAUCAUGACGAUGAGCUACAAGAUGCACCCUCGAUGUAGACAUGGUCAACCUUGGGUGCCCUUGUUAUUGAAGAAGAGCAGGCAACGCUCACCGACGCCGCGUCAGCAAGCAUAUAUGUUGAUCCUGUCUCCCAUGGAGAUACGGCUAUCCAUCACGAACUCCCUCAACCCAGGCCCAAAGAUCCGAUAGGCCAUGAUGCUACACCGUCGUACUGGAGCGCGGCCACCUUGUCGACGCCGGCCUCAACGUCAAUGAGGAUGGGCACUGCCAGAUUGUUCGGCAUGCCGAUGUGGCCAACCUGCUCCAGCUCCCGGAACAGCCUCGGGAUGGGGCCAGCUUGCACCAUCCCCCGGGUAAGCAGCAGUCCAUUAUGGCCUGGAGCGACGUCUGGCCACCACAUUACCUUGGAGAGCGCCCACUCGGCAUCAUACACGCCACCGACAGCCAUCAGCACCCGGCGACGCGGCGGACGAAGGAGGGGUCGGCCACGAGGGCGUGCCACCGCUUGCACGUGGUGGCACAACGAAGGGGGUGGCUGCAUCAGCGACGUGUGUGAGAAUCUCCAGGACGACGUCUUCCGGGAGGUCCGUCCGUUUGAUUUCCGCCCACGGAUUGAUCAUAUCGAAAUAGCCAAACGUAUGUCUUGUACCUUCUGAUCUGCUUUUAUUUUUCUUCUGACUGUGAAGAUGCGGUAAAUGUCUUGCCUCGGUACGAGGGGACGUGAUUCGUGUUUAUAGGCCGGGGCGCAGAUCCCUGUAGCGCAUACAAAGAGAUAGAAUACAUCUUGGAGAGGAAGAAAGAGAGAGAUAGAGAUAGCCACGGUUAAGCUAGUUAUCUAGGCUAACAAACUACCAGAAUAUCUCCAAGAGAUCUACAAUGUUGCACUAUGCACUGAACCUUAUAUGUUUAACACCCUCCCAUAAUCACAACUUUGUUAAGUUGAGAUUACGUUUGAAUUCUUCAAAACUCUUUGUAGGCAAUGCAUUGGUGAAGCCAUCUGCAUCUUGAUCUCUGGAAUGCACAAACCGGAUCUCAAGCUUCCUGCUAGCAACCCUUUCUCGAACAAAGUGGAAGUUAAUCUCAAUAUGUUUUGUUCUUGCAUGAAACACGGGAUUUGCAGACAAAUAAGUGGCACCAAGAUUGUCACACCAAAGACAUGGAGCUUGAGUAUGUUUUAUCCCAAGUUCUCUGAGCAUGGACUGAACCCAGAUAAUUUCUGCUGUUGCAUUAGCCAAAGCCUUGUAUUCUGCUUCUAUAGUUGAUCUUGAGAUUGUAGCCUGUUUCUUUACACACCAAGAUAUUAGGUUAGGUCCAAAGAACACUGCAAAACCACCAGUAGAGUGCCUAUCAUCAAUAUCUCCUGCCCAGUCAGAAUCAGAGAAUGCACUAAUAAGAGUUGAAGUAGACUUGGAGAAAGUAAGACCAACAUUAACCGUGUCUUUGACAUAUCUUAGUAUCCGUUUUGUAGCAGUCCAAUGAACUGUAGUGGGAGCAUGAAGAAACUGACAAACUUUGUUCACAGCAAAAGAAAUAUCUGGUCUUGUAAGAGUCAAGUACUGGAGUGCACCAACUAAGCUUCUGUACUUGGUGCUAUCUUCCUGAUUCAGGAGUUCUCCCUCUAUAAGAGAAAUCUUUUCAGAACUUGACAUUGGUGUUGGUGAUGACUUGCAUCCCUAUAGCCCAGCUCUUCUUACAAGAUCAGUAGCGUAUUUUUCCUGAGAUAGGUGAAGUUCACUUCCUUGUUUCCUUACCUCAAUACCUAGGAAAAAAUGCAAGUCUCCUAGAUCCUUCAAUGCAAAUUCAACACUAAGAUCUUUCAACAGUCCUGUCAUUGCUUCAUCUGAUGAGCUUGUAACAAUAAUAUCGUCAACAUAAAUGAGCACAAAGAUAGAUGUGUUGCACUUAUUGUAAAUGAACAGUGACGUGUCAGACUUGGAAGGAACAAAACCAAGUGCUUGUAAUUUUUGACUGAGACGGGAGUACCAUGCCCUAGGAGCUUGUUUGAGACCAUACAAAGCUUUAUCUAACUUGCAAACAUGGAAAGGUGUGUUUUUGUUCUCAAACCCAGGAGGUUACUUCAUGUACACUUCCUCUUCCAGAACACCAUGAAGGAACGCGUUCUGAACAUCUAGCUGUCUGAGACUCCAUCCCCUAGAAACAACAAUAGACAAAACAAGGCGAAUGGUGGCAGCUUUUAUAACGGGACUAAAGGUGUCCUCAUAGUCUAUGACAUACUGUUGCUUAAAUCCUUUGGCAACAAGUCUAGCCUUAUACCGAUCAAUAGUUUCAUCAGACUUCCUUUUUAUUCUGAAUACCCACUUGCAAUCAAUAAGAUUUUUACCUUGCCGUGGAGGAACUAGAUGCCAUGUCUUGUUUUUCUGGAGUGCUCUAUACUCUUCUUCCAUAGCUUGCUUCCACUUUGUGUCACCUAAUGCCUUAUCAAGCAUUUGUGGUUCACCUGUAGAGCAAGCUAAGCCAAACUUAAGUACCUUUUUAUAAUUAACAGGUUGCAAUACCCCUUUUUGUAGACGUGUGCGUGGCAUCAAUGGUGAAGCAGCAGCAGUUUGCUGCACAGAAGAUCCGGGGUCUGCAGCAGAAAAAUCCACAACAGCAUCCCCCGGCGAUCCCGAGGCAGAUACUCUGUGAUCUGAUGAGGAGGCAUGAUUUUCUGCGGCCUCAGCGUGUGAUGAAGGGGCGCCAUCCACCAUAGAGGAUCCGCCGCAGCAGGAGACCCGCUCCCACCAAGAGCAUCAUCGGGAUCCAUGCGGGAUCCAGCGCCUGUCGGGUGGUCCACCGCACGGGACCCCGAGCCGGUCGGUUAACACGGACGCCGCGCGUAGCAUGUGGGCGGAUCGGGAAAGUGGCUCAUCAGCUGCCGCGUGGAGCCCGGAGAUUGGCGCGGUCCAUCAGCGCCCGCUGAUUGGUUAGGGGCGAGCCGCGCUGCCGAGUUAGGGCGGUCAACCCGAGCGCUGUCGGGCAUGUCGUUGUCAGGCGCAGGUGAAGAGGGCGUCAAUCCCGAAGGAGAUCUCCUGUAGGACUGGUGCGGCCCGGAUCCCGAGGAAGAUAUGUUCCCCGAGGGCCUGCACAUGAAAUAUGGCUCGUUUUGAGCUGUUUCUUCACUGUUUUCAUCACCGUGACCACCAUUGGCUUCGUUGUUUUGUCCUGCAUCAUCACAUAGCUCAAGCAAACCGUUAUGAGGAUUAGUUGGCAUGUGAUCAUUACAGUUAUCUUCCCCAGAGGUACCUACUAGAUGUGAUGGCAAAAGGAGAAUUUCUUGGCAAAGAAGAGCACCGGCGUUUGGAUGUAGAUCGGCAAAGGGAAAUUUUGUCUCAUAAAAAACGACAUCUCUAGAGAUAUAGACUCGUCCAGUGGAAACAUCAAGGCACUUAACUCCUUUAUGUUGAGGGCUAUAGCCCAAGAAGACACACUGUUUCGAGCGAAACAUAAGUUUAUGAUUGUUGUAGGGUCUAAGGUUUGGCCAACAUGCACACCCAAAAAAAUGAAGUGAUGUAUAAUCGGGUUUGGUGUGAAGGAGCCUUUCUACCGGUAUUUCAUGAUGAAUGACACGACUGGGAAGCAUGUUGAUGAUAUGAACAGCGGUAAGAAAAGCAUCGUCCCAAAAUUUGAGGGGCAUGGAUGCGCCGGCCAAGAGAGCUAGACCAACCUCAACAAUGUGCCUAUGUUUUCUUUCGGCAGAUCCAUUUUGCUGAUGUGCAUGAGGACAAGAAACUUGGUGAGAGAUGCCAAAAUUUGGAAAAACGAGUUUAAUUUUUCGUAUUCCCCUCCCCAAUCGGAUUGAACGGCAAUGAUUUUGCUAUUAAACUUUCGUUCAAUAAGAGCUUGGAAGUUGUGAAACACUUGAAAAACCUCAGAUAUUUUUUUAAGUAAAUAGAUCCAAGAAUACUUGCUAUAGUCAUCAAUGAAGCUAACAUAAUAAGUAUGUCUACCAACAGAACUUGGAGCAGGACCCCAAACAUCAGAAAAUAUAAGUUGCAAUGGUUUGGUAGAAAUACUCAUGGAAAUUGGAUAAGGUAAUUGAUGGCUUUUAGCCUUUUGACAAGAAUCACAAAUUGUUUCAACAUCACGCUCUCCAACAUAUGGGAGCUUAUUCUUCCUAAGCAAUCGUUCAACUAAAGAAAAAGAUGCAUGCCCUAGUCUAUCGUGCCACCUUGUCGAGGAGAUUUUGGUGACACCAUAAGCUUGCUUAUUUAUUCUUCUAAACUCCGGAAUCAAUGGGUAAAGCCCGCGAACACAUCUACCUCGGUAGAGCACCUUCCUCGUUGCCUGAUCCUUGAUCAAAAAGAAAAAGGGGUGAAACUCGAGAAAGACAUGAUUGUCAAUGGCAAUACGAUGAACGGAGAGUAGAUUUUUAGAUGCACUAGGGACAUGAAGAAUUUUUCUUAGAUGAAUCUUUCGGUGAGGGGUUUGAAAAACUGAAUGACCAACAUGUUUAAUCUUCAUACCUAAUCCACUUGCUGUAUGUAUCUGGUCUUGGCCGCGAUACUUCUCCCGCAUAGUCACCUUUUCAAGUUCACCGGUGAUAUGAUUUGUAGCGCCACUAUCAACAUACCGGUUUGUAUCAACCCCGUAUGAGGCUUCUGCAGCACCAACGACCUUCUCAUCUUGCGAGGAUUCUCCUUCAUCCUCCUCAAACCGGUACCAGCAAUCCCUUGCUGAAUGACCGAUCUUGCCGUAGAUUAGACACUUGACAGCGUCGGGGCGGCUCCUGGAGUUGUUGUGACGGCCCUUGUUAUUGGUGUAGGAGGGCCGCCCACGAGAGGCGCUGUUGUUGUUGUUGGAGUUGCCGCUGCCGCCGCCGUUGUUCUUUCCCUUGUUGCGCGGAGGGCCACGGUAGCCGUGUGAGCCACCACGAACGGCAGCGUUGGCGGAGCUCUUGAACCCGGCGUUGUUGCCAGCACCAUGGAACAUAGCAAUGCGCUGGUUGAAGUUGCUUACUUGAGCGAACAGAUCAUCGAUCGUGACCGGUUCUUUGCGGGCGUCGAGUGCCGACACCAGCGGCUGGUACUCCAUAUACAUCCCUGCCAGGAUGUAGGAGAUGACUUCAUCGUCAUCCAGCGGCUUGCCAGCGGCCGCCAGCUCAUCGGCGAGGGAGCGGAUGUGGGCGAAGUAGGUGCCCACCGCUUGCGUGCCCUUCUGCGCGUUGGAGAGGGCGAUCCUGAUGUUGUUGAUGCGGGAUCGGGACUGGGACGAGAACAUGCUCGCCACAGCAGUCCAGAGCUCAUGCGCCUUGCGGAUCGAAGGUCACCUGGACAAGAACUUCUCGAGAGAGAUUGAUCAACAGAUGGCCAAGUACCUGUUGAUCUUCCUUUACCCAGACUUGGUGUAGAAGGUUCGGGGCGGCUUCCUCCUUGCCAUCUUUAUCCUUGGUGACGAGGAACUUCUUCGGUUCCUUGAUGGAUCCGUCGACGUAGCCAAACAGGCCAGCGCCGAUGAGCUGGGGCGUGAUCUGAGCACGCCAGAGGACAUAGUUCGUCCUGGUGAGCUUCUCUGUUACCUGACCAUGGAUGGUGGGUGCAGGAGCGACGGCGGAAGACGACAUGGUUGGAGCCAGGGUUUGAUGGAUGCUAGAUGUUGUGGAAGAGGAAGGCUCUGGUUACCAUGUGAAGAUGUGGUAAACGUCUUGCCUCGGUAUGAGGGGACGUGAUUCGUGUUUAUAGGCCGGGGCGCAAAUCCCUGUAGCGCAUACAAAGAGAUAGAAUACAUCUUGGAGAGGAUGAAAGAGAAAGAUAGUGAUAGCCACGGUUAAGCUAGUUAUCUAGGCUAACAAACUACCAGAAUAUCUUCAAGAGAUCUACAACGUUGCACUAUGCGCUGAACCUUAUAUGUUUAACACUGACAACUCAAUUUCAUGAUCUCUGAGUCUCUUACAAAAGCACUCGUACCGAUCCUGCACCGAAGACGAGACGACCACUCGAACAACAACUCCUGGUGUCGCACGGACAAGGCCAAAGACACAAGUGGCAUACGGCAACACUUCCUAAUUAACCCUACCCUGAUCCGUACUAGGACUACCCGGCAACCUGCUUUAACUAACACUGCAUAAUUUCCUAACGUUACCCAGCAAGACAGAUGCUCCAAGACUAGUUAGUGUACAACUUCAACAUUACCUACGCCAACUAGACCGGAAAUUGAGCGUUAAUUUUAAAAACCUGAAAUAUUUUUAACGUAAAUCACCCGACCUAAAUUUCCGGGAAAACUCGAACGCCCCUUUGACAUCAAACCGGCCCGGGCCAACUACAAGGCCCCCGAUUCUCUCCAAUGACCAUUAUGAUAGAGACCGGUGCUAUCUACAAACGAUUAGGCUUAAAAGUGGCGGGUUUCUUAAGUCCUGUUUGGUUCAUAAGUUUUAGAAUUUUUUUUAGUCCCAACUAAAAAGUCGCUAGUCCCUAAAAAAUCCUUAUCUGUUUGGUUUCUGAGACUAAACAUGGAUUUAUGGAUCAUGUUACAACUAAAAGUCUCAAAAAGACUCUCCUUGAGAGUCUUCUUUUAUAAGUCCCAAAUGCGCACUUUAAGUCCCUAUAAAUUCCUCCUGUUUGGUUUAGAUGGGACUAAAAGAAACUUUUUUAAGUCCCUAGACCAAUAAGCCCCUGUAAACAAACACCCCCUUAUAAGAGAAAAAAAGGAGAGUCAAGCCGGUGGUUAUGCUCUCCCUGUGUCCCAAGGGCGGUUCUGUGUAGUUUGUCUUGUGCAUGAGAUCAGUGUACAUUGCUACUGGGAGUUGUUCCUGUUGUUUACAGGUUCUGAUGAUGCUCUGUAGUUCAGUUUAAUUUGUUAGUUCUGAUGAUGCACUGUAACGACCUUGCGGCAAGCUUUGAAACAGUGUUACCAUGGGCAAUGCUUCUUGAUGACUUGUCUAUGAGUGCUGAUAUCCUUGCAUUUUAUCUGUAGGAGGAGCUUUGAAGGUUUGUUAGGGCAGACAAGAUGGUUCUCAAGUAUGUUACUGUCUUAGAUGUCGUGCAGAAAUGUUAAUGAUUUGUAAAAUUGCUUCUUCCAAUCUUACUUAUUCCCACAUUUGUGUUCAUACAGGACAGAGCUCGGCCGUUUUAGCGGUGCAAAGAUAUACCUAGGGAAGGGUAUCCGAUUCAUCCGUUCAGAGUGUCAGGUAAGCCCUUGUGCGUCCUUUCGUUAUUUUGUAUGGAAUGAAAAUAACUAGAAAUUCUCUAACAUUCUGCUGCACCUUCUUUGUGUGUGCCCAAAAUCAGGUAUUCCUUUUCUCGAACUCCAAGUGCAAGCGCUACUUCCGCAACCAUCUCAAGCCCGCUAAGCUCACAUGGACGGCCAGGUUCAGGAAGCAGCACAAGAAGGUACAUGCAAAUAAGCCAAUCCCUUUAGGGCUUGUUCGGUUAAUCCCUCCCACAAGGGGAUUGGAGAGAAUUGGAGGGGAUUGAGGUGGAUUUUGAUUUGUGGGGGAUCUAAUCCCUCUCAAUCCCCUCCAAACCCCUUCAAAUCUGAAGGAACCGAACAAGGCCUUAAUGAUAUACUCCACAUCCUAGUUCAGCAAAUGUUUCAUAAUGUUACUAGUAUGUCAUAUUAGAGUGAUCUUCUUAGGCAGUGUAAGAGGUGAAUCCAUCUGGUAACUAGUUGACUUGCUUAAAUAUUUCACCUGAUGAAUAAUUUCAUAUUUCAGUAGCUAGCGACAGUCAAACAAAGUGACAUAUCUAGUAAGUCUCAGGGACUAGAAUGAUUUGAUGACCAGUUUACCACAAUGUCAGAUAGUCUGUUAACAACAUAAAUGAUAUGUAUUGCUUAAUCAUGUGUAAUUUCCAUUCCUUUGCUUUGCACAGACAGACGUAUUGUUUCUUAGAUUAGGUCUCUGUUUUAUUGUGUUUUCACCGAUGCUCCAUCACUCGCCGUCCUUGUUUUUAUAAGCAACUACAAAAUUUAUGUUUGUGCAUAGGAAAUUAUGAAGUUGUGCUUAUAAUUUAUUUUGUGGUGUAUGCUUGCAGGAUAUCCAUGCCGAGGCUGCAAAGAAGAGGCGGCGCACAACCAAAAGGCCAUAUUCCAGGUCUAUUGUCAGUGCUUCUCUUGAUGUCAUCCAGAAGAAGAGAGCCGAGAAGCCUGAGGUCCGUGAUGCAGCCAGGGAAGCAGCUCUCCGGUAACACUUCCUUCUCCCUCGCUUCCGACCCCUGCUUAUAGAUAUUGUGAUGUGCUAUACCAUAUGAACCAACAUGUUCUUCUUCUGUUGCAUGCCAAACUAGGAUUGUUAUAUCUGUUCUGACUCAAGUUUGUAUUGAACUAUGUGGUGGAGUUAACGCCUUGUAAACUUCUAAUGGGCCGUGUAGUCUUUGAAAGAAAUAGAUGGUAAUUAUGUAUGGAUUGGAGAAGGUAGCUUUAGUUUGGGUUUUAAGAAGCCAUUUCUUUUAGGUCACUCACACCUGUGAACUGAACAUCAUCCAUGUAAUAUCCACUGUGUGUUUCUGCUACUCUUAAUGUUUGUACAAUAUCAGGGACGUCUUGGCACCACAUUCUUUUAUCUAUUGUAUAUCUAUGAGGCACUUACUUACAGUGGUAACUGUUGUAGUAUAACAGUGAGAUCAAGGAGCGGAUCAAAAGUUGUUUCAAAAAAAAGGAGCGGAUCAAAAAGACCAAGGACGAGAAACGGGCUAAGAAGGUGGAGGUGACGAAGUCCAGGAAGACGACCGCCCGGCAGAGGGAACGCCCCCAAACCCGGUAAGGCCCCCAAGCUUGGCGGCAAUUGAUGUUUGUUUCGCACCACGCUGUCGAUGUUCGUUUGUCCGUGACCUAUCGAAGCCGGUCUCCGUAGACCCUUUCUCAUGGCAUGUCUGUCAUUAUCCCCGAAGCUUCCCCUUAAUAACUUGAUGUUAAUCGAUGCGGCGCACUGCCGAAAUGUCGUCGGAAGGCGACCUUGUGAGGCGAUGCUGCUUUUGGCUGGGUCGGGCCGCCACGGAAGCUGUUGGUUCGACGGCCGUGGUCGCCAAGCACUUGCUCCGUCGCUCGUGCAGUACUACUAGUAGAUUAGUCAUGGUAGGUGUUGAGAUUAGUUUCACGGGCUGGUCGGUGCCAGGUUCAGCGCACCUUGAUCCGGGAGAAAACUAAGGUUCAGUGAACCUCGUACAGACACCAACCGAGCACGUGUUUUGCCUUUUAAUAAUUUUUAUUUAGCGUGAUCGUCUCGAUAAGACCGAAGGGGUGGCUUAAAGAAACGAUCGUUGUCUCAGACGGACGGGAUCAUAUCCGAUCGUACGGCUAGUCGGCGCCGACAUGUCACCUAAGCGACAGAAAAGCACGUGGUAGGUGAGGCUCGCCACAUGCUUUCUUCCAAGAUUGUUUUGCGCAAAUCACGUGCGAUCAAAGGCUUUGUUCCAUUCGUCUGACUAAAGAUUUUUGUCUAGUUUGCAUCUAAUAAAGAAAUGAGUUUUGUGGAUCCUCAAAAAAAAAAAUGAGUUUUGUGUAGUUUUGGGGAUUAAAAUCUACAUUGCCGAAGCUUUUGAGAUGGCUCCCGGCCGUAUUUGCAAGGGCGAUCCGCCAGGAACUUGCAAAAGCUGUCCGUCGGACUUGAGACCGAGGUUGAUCCCCAAUGAAUCGAAGUCGCUCCUGUGUCAGUUUGGUUUGUGCUCCCUCGGCACCUAGCGUGGCAUGCCAGUGAGUGUUGAUGGAGGGGGCACACGACCUCACCUCACUCCCCUCUAGCCCAGGCAGGGAUGGGAUCGACCCGGAUAUUCCAGCCUCGUGUGUGCAGUAAGUAGAGUAGGUCGCAGACAAAGUUUCAGUGGAAAAGCGUUGACACGAUCUCAGGCGUCCGUGCAGGUGCGGCGCACCUCGGCUGGUACGUGCAAGUGGAUCAUUGCGCUCUAGAAAGGAAAAAAAAUAAUGCAUGGCAGCGCCGAGAUCUGUUAGCUCGGCAGCCACGUACGCCGAGGCCGUCGACCCGAUGGACCACCCACGCCUUUCCGAUACCUCUCCGACGUGUCUCCGUGCGUGUCGCUCGCGGUCGACAGCGCCGAGUGCGACGGCACGUCGCACGUCCGACCCACCCACGCCGGCUUCCCUCCCCAGAAAUGCGGACCACGUCGCGGCCCGGCCGGACGCCGAUGCACCUGGACACCCCACAUCGAUCGAUCGUGUCGACGCGCGCCCAGCGCCACGCGACUCGGUGGUGACCGUCGCACGCCGCGCGACAAGGAAGGCCGGGCGGGGGAAAGCGCGCUGCGCUUUUCGGCGGGGCAUGUGCCCGGCCAGCCGCCUGGUGGGGGUGGGGGUGGGUCGGCUCGGCCACGAACGAUCCGGUGGGCCGGUUGGUCGCCGCGUGUGCGGCUGCGUGCCCGCAACAAUUCCGGGAAAAAGUUCCCCCUAAAAAAAACAAUUCCGGGAAAAAGCGUAGGACUGUGUCGCGACCUGCGAGGGGAUAAGCUAGCGCAGCUGCGGUGUGGUGUUGUGCACCGGGCGGGCGAAUCUUCCCGACGAGCGCCGAGCCUGCGUCGCGGUGGUAGCGACCCGCGCGGGCGCGGGACGGCGUCGAUGAUUCGAGCCGCCGUGGUCGCGGUCCAGAGGUGUGACGGGGGAUAAAAGGGCUUGCUGUCGACGGGCAGAUCUCAGAGCAUCCGGCACCUCAAAUCCUUCUCGAACGCUCCGGAAGCCUCAAACAAACCCAAACGUCCGGCCUGACCGACAUCCCUUAUAUAUCUAACAUAAAUAUGGAACGAAUGUGGGGCAUCCGGACACGCCCGUCACGUUGGAUCUUAUGUUGGCCUACCCAACCCACGUAUAUUCCUCCCCAACUGCUCGUCGAACCAAACCCUAACCACUUCACUCUCCUUUCCACCCAAGUUCAUCUCCGGCGUUGUCCGACCGUCUCUGCCAUGGCAGGCAGCGGAUUCAAGUCCUUCACCUCCAGAUCCGUCGACCCCGAGCUCAUCUCACACGGCCCCAAAGAGGAGAUGGCCGUCCGGCAUGCGCUCCACCGCUCCCGGGAGGAGGCCCGCGCACGACAGCGCUCGGAUUUCUUCCGUUGGGAAUCCAUUGCGUCCGCCUAAAUGACGCAUGGAUCCGGCGCUAGGGCAGCAGUCGCUACCUCACCGGAGGCGGUGCGAGCCGUCUGGUGUCCGAACACGGUGGCGGACGUGCAACCCCUCCGUUGGCACGCCGAGGUCAUGGAUGCACCGUGGGCGUUGUCCGAUGCAAUCAUGGCAUGGCAUGCCCGCCAUGCGAGGCAGCGGCAGCGCUCGCGACAUGGACGUCGGCGAGGCAGGGUCAAAUUCUCCGGCGCCCCAUAUGGUACACCACUCUGGGCAAUGCAACCGUGGCGUGCUGGAUGUCGCUGGCUCGUUCCAGGACGGAUCCAUCAUCGAUCCUAUGUCUACCGACACCCAACAGGUUCCGGGCUUCGACGAGGAAGAGUAGGGCAUGGGAGACGACAACGCCUUGAGUCCCUUGAGCUGGAUCGUGUCACAUGCCCUACUCUACCUUGCCGGCGUCCGGACCAAUACUCUCGGAGCGCAGCCGGCCGCCGGAUAUGGCCACGGUGACCGGACAAGCUCUGCUCAAAAUCGCUAUGUUGCAUGUAGUAACAUGGAUUUGAGAUUUUUAAUUUGGGGUAUCCGUGCGCAUCAGCGGGCAUUUGGGAGGCCGAAUUUGCCCAUCACAGGUGUAGAUGCUUUACUCUCUUCUGGUUUGCAAUGGAUACAAUUAAAAUGGCAUGUCCAUUCAAUCCUAUAGUAUUGGAAGUUUGGAACUUGUUUGAUUACUAUAUAGUUACUAUAGACAAAUUACUAUAGAAUAAGAAUUCAAUCCUAUGAAUCAAAAGAUCAACAUAUGAAAAAAAGAAAGGAUUUUAAUUCCCCAAUAAUCAAAGGGAAAUCCUAUGGAUCAAAGGAGCCCUUAAAUUAAAAAGGCAUGCUUCUAUCAUGUACUCAGAAUAGUGUUUUCAUCCUCGUGCAACAAAUGGCAUUUAUGGAAAUAAUGUUGCGAACUUGCCGGGGUUAUUUUUAUUUUUAUGCCGCUAUUUGAGCAUACAACACCCUUCUUUGGAGAAAACGUACCACACCAUGCCACACCUCCCCUCCCACCCUAAUGUCAUCGCCAAAUGACGACCUUGGCCUAAGAUUGCACACUAAACUAGCGGCAAUGGGGUUCCUUGCAACGAUUUCCUCAAAGGUUCAAGGCAUGGUCUUUAUCAUCGACAAAAGCUCCUUCGGCGACGGAGAGGAGGCGUUGCCCUCGUGCUCAGAUGGGGAUGAAUUUGCACACGAUACACGAUAUGGCUUUGAUGCAACUUUCUCGUUGUAACUACGGAGCUAGGGCAAUGGACUGGUCAGACUCCCCUAGUCGGGAUAGGCUAACCAACUAGCCGCAGAUUGGGGAAUGUGAGCUUGCUGAUGAAAAGCCAUGUUUAAUUGUGGCUGGAGCAAACAAUGUUAUAUGUGGGCGGUAUUACUUUGCUGGAGGCAUCAUAUGGUAUAGUUCUUGUCUUUCUGGGAUGCUCGGGAGAAACCCUAGAUCUCGGUCUUUCCAGGUCUAACGAUGGUUGUUGUUCUUUCUAGCUUGUCUUCCUAAUUAAAGUUGCCUUGCCGCCGACUGUGCUGACAAUUUUCUGGCAUGGAUCAUUGGCUUCAGACGGUUAUUACGACAACGGAUUAGCCGAUGGUCAUCUAUGGUUUUCUGUGACUUGGUGCCCAUUAAUAUAAAUGGAAGUGAUGUCAAUAUAUUUGCUCAAAUCCUUGGUUGCAAACUAAGUGAGUUCCCUAUUAAGUAUUUAGGUGCUCCCCUCCAUCCCAGAAAACUAAAGAAAAGUGAGCUCCAGCCUACUAUUGAUAAAAUUAUUAAAAGGGGAGCUGGGUGGAGAGGGAGAUUACUAUCUUCUGGCAAGAGACUCACACUAGUGAAGACCUAUCUAGCUACUAUCCCUGGCUACCUUAUGGGGAUUAUUAAAUUCCCAAAAUGGGCCAUAAAGCUAAUUAAUUCACAACUAGCUCACUGUUUUUGGGAUGAUUAUGAGGGUCAUCAUAAAUAUCACCUUGCUGCCUGGGAGAAUGUGACCCUACAAAAGCAACAUGGGGGCCUAGGUAUCCCCAAUAUCGCUGACAUGAAUCUAUGCCUAUUAGCUUCCUGGAUUAAGAGAUAUUUCCUGGAUGAGGGCAAGAUUUGGAAGCAAAUUAUUGAUGCCAAAUAUAGAACUCAUAGCCCUAAUAUUUUUACUAUCCCUAGCAAUGGUGCUUCCCCUUUCUGGAAAGGGAUCCUUUGGGCUACUAAAGCCACUAGAAUGGGGUAUUCCUGGAUAGUCAGUAAUGGCAAUAGUAUUAGAUUCUGGGAAGACCAGUGGAUUGGGCAUACCACUCUUGCUAUCCAAUAUUGGGACUUGUACAAUAUUGCCAAUGACCAGAAUAUUUCUAUCAGUGAAGUGUGGGAUGGCACUAAUCCUAAAAUUACUUUUAGAAGGUGUUUUACCCAAAAAAUGCUGGCUGAUUGGAAUGAUCUGUUCAGUCGGCAGUCGCAUUAUUAAAAUUAAGCUGGAGGACAGGGAAGAUACAAUCCUCUGGAAUUGUGAACAUAAAGGUGUCUGCACUGUAAAAUCUUUCUACAACAUUGUAAAUUUUAGGGGAGUUCGGCCGGGUAACCUGCUAGUUAUUUGGAAAAUCAAUGCCCCCCUGAUGAUUCAGAUUUUUCUCUCGCUUAUGGCCAAAAACAAAUUAUUAACGAGAGAUAAUCUGCAAAAAAGACAACAUGUAGAAGAUGCUACUUGUUUUUUCUGUAAUGAAUCUGAAUCUAUUGAACAUUUAUUUUUUGGCUGUGUCGUUGCGAUUGAACUAUGGAGAGUGAUUUUUGAUAUAUCCAAUAAAUACGGUGGAAUGUCCGUUGAUGACAUGCUGGCCUGGUGGUUUAAUAACAAAAAUCACUCCGCGAUCUGUUUGCUACAUUCUGCUAUCCUUUGGACUCUAUGGAAAUAUCGUAAUGACAUUUGUUUUAAUCAUAUCCCCUGGCUUGGGAUGCAGGUCCUGUGAAGGAAAACUGCUACUAUACUAAGCAGUUGGAUGGUUCGAUGCUGUGGCCCUGUCAAAGAAAAAGUGAUGCACUUGGUGAGAAAGCUGGAGCAGGAAGUNNNNNNNNNNNNNNNNNNNNNNNNNNNNNNNNNNNNNNNNNNNNNNNNNNNNNNNNNNNNNNNNNNNNNNNNNNNNNNNNNNNNNNNNNNNNNNNNNNNNNNNNNNNNNNNNNNNNNNNNNNNNNNNNNNNNNNNNNNNNNNNNNNNNNNNNNNNNNNNNNNNNNNNNNNNNNNNNNNNNNNNNNNNNNNNNNNNNNNNNNNNNNNNNNNNNNNNNNNNNNNNNNNNNNNNNNNNNNNNNNNNNNNNNNNNNNNNNNNNNNNNNNNNNNNNNNNNNNNNNNNNNNNNNNNNNNNNNNNNNNNNNNNNNNNNNNNNNNNNNNNNNNNNNNNNNNNNNNNCCUCCUGAGGUGGCCAGACCCUGGCUAGGCCUACCACAGUGCUCGGAGGUGCUACAUAAACCGUGCCAUUGACUGAGAUCUGAGUGGUCCAUUGAGCUUCAAUGUCCUACUUCUUCGCCGCGGCUCCCAUUUCUUGUUCUCUGCCGGUUGGUACUUUCUUUGAGGAUAACCUUUUUCUCUUGUAGUAGUUAAGUAAAUUGGCGUUCUGCCUUUUGAGGCUUGGACAACUCAUUUUUUUGGGCAUGUGUACUGUUUAUCCCCCGCGUGCUUGUAACAGGAUGUUGGAUUAUCUGAAAUUUCAUUUGAUAAUACAAAUGGAGCCGGGGCCGAGAGCCCUUUAACUCUAAAAAAAA
rnacentral:lncRNA from 1 species